CUAAGCUUGGAUGGCCUGGCAGAAAAAAUGUGGUCAUGGGUUUUCAUUAUUUCUUUAGCCAUUUUGGCUGAGGAAACAACUAGAACUGGUUCAAAGCACAUGCGCAAAGACAUUAGAGGUCCGUACUUCUGAGAAAGUUUCCAUAGAGAGAUAUAAGAGGCUGAGUUAUGAAGUUGAUGCAAGUUGCCUACGAAGGGAAGAGCUCGGGGACCUGGUGGGAAAUCAGGAUUUGUUUUAGUUUUGCGAUUUUGGAAAAGCAACAAGAGCAAUACAGGAACAGCUAAUGCAAGGAAGACAAAUGAAACCAUUGUUGCUUGUGAACUCAAUAACCAAAGAAUUUAACCAAAGAUCUCAAACACUCAUCAGUUAUGUUAAUCUCGAUGCAUUCUUUCACUUAUUUAUAGUUGGUCAUUGACAAAGACUUUUAGCACCCGGAUCGAGAUUGCGCCUAAAAGAAAGACUUAAAAUUCAGUAAAAUUCACUAAGCUCACAUGUCUCGUCCAGUCUGUAAUCAAAUUAGGCAUGACACUGAUUAGAGGAAAACCCAGCUCGUGUGCUUAAAAUUCACUAAGCUCACAUGUCUCGUCCAGCCUGUAAUCAAAUUAGGCAUGACACUGAUUAGAGGAAAACCCAGCUGGUGUGAUAUGAUAGAAGGUAGGAAAGCAGUCGGAAUUAAAUCAGCAGAUGAGAACAAGUUAAAUUUGUAUAUACGAAUUUACGUGAUAAAAAAAGUCAAUAAUAGAGUAACGAUUUUGAGGAUAAUUGAAAAAAAAAAACACUCUCAAAAAUGUUAUUUCAGAACAUCAGUUAUAAAGAAUGUGCCCCUCACUUCAUUAAUUAAGAAAAAAUAAACGAAAAGAUGAAUCGAGGAUGUGCAUGUGCAGUCCUACCAUUUAAACUAGUAAAAAUAGUUGCAGAAUUAUAGAAUACCCCACAAUCCAAAAGCUUUUAAUAUGUGUAUUAAAAAAGGUAAAACAUGUAUAUUAAUUUUUAGGUAAAAUUAUUUUUUAAUUCCUAUAAUAUUAAAAAAAUUAUUAAUUAAUCUUUCAAUUUUAAAAAAUAUAUUAAAAUAUCUCUUAUAUUUUAAAAAGUUUAUUAGUUAACUUCUACGUUAAUUUUGUAAUUAAAUAUUUACUAUUUAAUCUCUAUAAUUUUAAAAAUUUAUUAUUUAAUAUUUUAAUUUUUUAAAAAAUUUACUAAUUAGCACAUCACGAAUAUUUUAGAUUUUUUUAUAAUAUUCAACGGCUAAAACUAACGAAAAAUUUAACUAGUAGAUAUCUUUUAAUAUUAUCGACGUUUUAAUGUAUUUUUCAAAAUCAAUAAAUUAAUUAAUAAGUUUUUUCAUAUUAUAAAGAUUAAAUUGUAAUUCUCUAAUUUUUAUUUUUUAUUUUUUAUUCAACAUGUUAUUAUAUAAUUGAAUUAAUAUACAUGGUAGUUAUAUUAUAAAUUCAUUCAUAUACUAGUAUGCUAUUAAAACUAGUCAUAUAAAUAAAAAGGCUAUUAAAUAAAAAAAUUUAAAUAUUUACAAUAAUUAUAUUUAUAUCCAACACUUUAAAUUUUAGAUAGUAAAAUCAAAUAUUUUUAAUUUUUCACAACUAUAAUCAAGAAAAUUAAAUUAAAUUUUAAAAUGUUAAUAGUAAAUUAUAAUAUCAUUCUUAAAAUUUUCUUCGACUAAUAAAGUAGUUCUUAAAUAUAUUUUUUUAUUACAAUAAUAUUAUUUUUUUUGUUAAUUCAAUUAUUUAUUCCUUAUUUUUACUUUUACUGUAACAGCCCGGAAACCGAACUGCUACCGGCACUAGGAUCCAGAUCAAUUUAAGGUCGCCGGGACCCGUAGUAACCCUGCUAUACUGUCUGUGUACCUGUGAAAUCCCAUACAUGAGCAUACAUUUUCUGUCAAACCAUUCAAACUUUUCUUUCCUCCAGGGCUUAACCUGUGCAUGCACUAUUUCUGAUCUAUCAACUCAUAAUGUUAAGUCUAGUUUUCUCAUAUGCAUAACAAUAAAAGAAAACAUACAUAAAAUGAUCAUGUGUAUACCAAAAGGGGAUUACAACUCUUAUAAGUCAAGCACAAAGCUACACACUAUACAUUAUCUCUUUACAUGUACAUGUCCACACUAGCUAUUACAUAACUGUUCUUCUUGCAAACCCUACUGGACUCCCUCUGGACUCUGAACCUGCAAACCUGGGGGAUAGAGGAGAGGGAUGAGCUAUACAAGCCCAAUGAGCAGAACUCUAAACCGGAAUUUUAAAACAUGAUCUCAUGGAAUGCACUACAUCACAUCAUCUCAGGGAUAGACAUGACCGCCAAAAAUCCCACUGAAAGGAUGCCUGGCCUAGCCAGGUCUUACAACCUCAAUCUGCCUGGCCCGGCCAGGUCUUACAACUCUGUCUGCCUGGCCCAACCAGGUCUUACUAUCUCUGCUGCCUGAUCUAGUCAGGUCUUACCUACAGAUGGCUGCCUGGCCCGGCCAGGUCUUAUAAUAGAGCUUGGACUAUUGGAGUAGCCUUGGUCUAUCCAUAGCCUCAUAUACAUCGUAUUAUGCAAUGCGUCAUCUUCGUGAAACUAAUGCAAACAUCCUACUAUAAUCUUAUGAUGCAUGACAUAUGCUCAAAGCAGUUUAGUUCUGAAAAGAGAAGUUCCACUCACCUCUGGCUGACUCUGUACUCACUCUGCAGGUUCUGAAACAAUGCUCACUGCUGCUCUCUGGGGUUCCUCUGGUCCGUACCUACACAGGUGGACUCAAAUGAGGGACCAAGAAACUCCCCAAAAACCUUCUACAAGAUCCCCAAACAAUCACAUAAAACAUGCAAAAGAAAGCUGGACAGGGCACUUUCGGCGGCAGGUUCGGCGGCCGAAACCCCUCUCCAGAGACGAAACUCAUGCAUGUUCGGGGGCACCUUCGGCGGCCGAAGGUCUCGUCCAGAGACGAAACUCAUGCACUUUCGGCGGCUGAACUCCCUCUUUCGGCGGCCGAAAGUCCCUUUCUAAACCGAAAGCCUAGCUUUCGGGGGCAAGCUUUGGCAGCCGAAACUGCCUCCACAAGGGGAUCGGCAGCCGAACCUUCCUUCGGCGGCCGAACCUGGUUUUGCCCGCUGGGCAGAACCCUGCUCUGUUUCAUGCAAACCUUUUCUCCAAACUUACCCAACAUGCAUAUCAACUACUCCCAACUAGCACAUACCAUAAAACAUGCAUAAAAGGGCCUAAAACUCACUUAUAACCCCAAGAAACAUAUCAAACAACACUUAAACAUGCUUAAACACUAAAUCAUGCAAAACCUCAACCAAAACCCUAUUCAUGCAUACUAUCCAUCCAACUCNNNNNNNNNNNNNNNNNNNNNNNNNNNNNNNNNNNNNNNNNNNNNNNNNNNNNNNNNNNNNNNNNNNNNNNNNNNNNNNNNNNNNNNNNNNNNNNNNNNNNNNNNNNNNNNNNNNNNNNNNNNNNNNNNNNNNNNNNNNNNNNNNNNNNNNNNNNNNNNNNNNNNNNNNNNNNNNNNNNNNNNNNNNNNNNNNNNNNNNNNNNNNNNNNNNNNNNNNNNNNNNNNNNNNAUAUCAUCCUUCCACCGACUUGGCACCCUUUUAUAGGUGGCUGGCCAGACCACCUUCGGCGGCCAAACGUGAAUCCGAAACCAUGCAAGGUUCGGCGGCCGAAAGUCACCUUCGGCGGCCGAACUUGCCAUUUUCUCCCUUGGCUCUUUUCUUUCAAAAACUCAUUUUCCUUUAUACUUAAAACCGUAAAACAAGUCAAAAAUACAUAAGAAAACAUAUGGAUUACCCUUCUCGAGGGUUUCGACACCCGAGAUUCCACCAGACUACAGGAAUUCCGAGGCCGGACUCGAGCCGGGUAUUACAUUCUCCCCCCCUUAAGAACAUUCGUCCCCGAAUGUUCCUCAAACAACGAAACACAUAAACAUAGAGAAACGGGAAAAACCUAACCUUAAAACAGAUAUGGAUAUUGCUGGAGCAUCGACUCCCGUGUCUCCCAGGUGCACUCUUCGAGGUUGUGGUGGUUCCACAGGACUUUCACCAUUGGUAUCUCCUUGUUUCUCAGCUUUCUAAUCUGGGUGUCAAUGAUCUGCACUGGCUGUUCCACAUAAGUGAGAUCCCCAAGGAUCUCUACAUCCGGUUCACUGAGCACCUUACUUGGAUCCGACACAAACUUUCUCAACAUAGAAACAUGAAAUACCGGGUGAAUUCGUUCCAUGGAUGCAGGUAAAUCCAGCUUAUACGACACAGGCCCGAUCUUCUGCAAGAUCUCAAAGGGACCUAUGUACCGUGGAGCCAAUUUACCCUUCUUUCCAAAGCGAACCACUCCCUUCAUUGGAGACACCUUUAGCAAUACCAUAUCCCCCUCCUGGAACUCUAUCUGCUUCCUACGGAUGUCUGCAUAGCUUUUCUGCCUGCUUACAGCUAUUCUAAUCCUCUCUCUGAUCCUAGGCACUAACUUGCUGGUAAUCUCAACUAACUCUGGCCCUGCAAGAGCCUUCUCUCCUACCUCUUCCCAGCAAACAGGUGUUCUGCACUUCCUCCCAUACAGAGCUUCAUAAGGAGCCAUCCCUAUGCUAGCAUGAUGGCUGUUGUUGUAGGCAAACUCCACCAGAGGUAGAUGCUGCCUCCAAGAACCGCCAAAGUCUAACACACACAUUCUCAGCAUAUCUUCUAUGGUCUGGAUGGUCCUCUCUGACUGACCGUCUGUCUGUGGAUGGAAAGCAGUGCUGAAAUCCAAUCUUGUACCCAUAGCAGCUUGCAGACUCCGCCAAAACCUGGAGGUGAACUGCGGUCCUCUAUCUGAUACUAUCGACACUGGAACUCCAUGCAGCUUGACUAUCUCUUCUACAUAGACCUGCGCCAACUUGUCCACAGAAUAGUUGCUCCUGACUGGAAUGAAGUGAGCAGAUUUCGUCAGUCUGUCCACAAUCACCCAUAUGGAGUCUAGCCUGUUGGACGUCGCCGGUAACCCCACUACAAAAUCCAUAACUAUGUUCUCCCAUUUCCACUCUGGAAUCGGCAGUGGGUUAAGCAUUCCAGCCGGCUUCUAGUGUUCUAGCUUCACCCGUUGACAUGUCUCGCAAGCUGACACAAAAUGUGCCACUUCCUUCUUCAUAGCUGGCCACCAAUACACCCUUCUCAGAUCUUGAUACAUCUUGGUGGCUCCAGGGUGAACGCUAUACCUCGCACUAUGAGCUUCCCUCAUAAUGUCUUCCUUCAAACUGCUAUCAUCUGGUACACAUAAUCUCUUACCGUAACGAAGAAUUCCCUCACUGUCAAAUCUGAACUCUGCACUGUUACCAGACUGAACAGUCCUGGCAAUCUUCACUAACUCAGGAUCUUCGUGCUGUUUCAGAGCCACUUGCUCUAGAAACACAGGUGUAACUCUCAUCUGUGCAAUCAAUGCACCUGUACCAGAUAACUGCAACUGUAGCCCUUCAUCCAUGAGUCUAUAAAAGUCCUUCACCACCGGUCUUCUCUCUACUGCAAUGUGGGAUAAACUGCCAAGUGACUUUCGGCUUAAGGCAUCAGCUACAAUAUUAGCCUUACCCGGAUGAUACUGGAUCUUACAAUCGUAAUCAUUGAGCAAUUCUACCCACCGUCUCUGCCUCAAGUUUAACUCUCUCUGACUCAAGAUGUGCUGCAGGCUCUUAUGAUCCGUAUAGAUCUCACACUUUACCCCAUAGAGGUAAUGCCUCCACAUCUUAAGUGCAAAGAUAACAGCUGCCAUCUCAAGAUCGUGUGUCGGGUAGUUCAGCUCGUGCCUCUUCAGCUGUCUAGAAGCAUAAGCUAUCACUCUGUCAUUCUGCAUUAACACACAACCUAAUCCCACUCGGGAUGCAUCACAGAACACUGUGAAAUCAUCAUCACUGAUCGGCAGAGCUAACACCGGUGCUGAAGUCAACCGUCUCUUCAACUCUUCAAAACUCUCAUCACAAUCCUCUGACCAUACGAACUUCUGAUUCUUCCUGGUCAGUCUGGUCAUAGGAGCAGCUAUCUUCGAAAAGUCCUAAACGAACCUCCAAUAGUAGCCUGCCAAACCUAGAAAACUCUUGAUCUCUGUCACUGUCGUGGGUGUAGGCCAAUUGGCUACUACCUCUACCUUCUUGGGAUCUACUGUGAUUCCUUCCUCUGAUACUACAUGUCCCAAAAAGGCAAUGCUCCUUAGCCAGAACUCGCACUUGGAGAACUUGGCAUACAAGCCAUGCUCUCUCAAAGUUUGCAAAACUACCCUCAGAUGCUGGGCAUACUCCUCCGCAUUCCUGGAGUACACCAAGAUAUCAUCUAUAAAGACGAUCACAAAACGAUCCAAGUACUCCCUGAAAACCCUGUUCAUGAGAUCCAUAAAUGCUGCAGGGGCAUUAGUCAACCCGAACGGCAUCACUAGGAACUCAUAAUGCCCAUAUCUGGUUCUGAAAGCAGUCUUGGAUACAUCUCCUUCCCUGAUCUUCAACUGGUGGUAUCCGGAUCUCAGAUCUAUCUUAGAAAAACAACCUGCUCCUGCCAGCUGGUCGAAUAGAUCAUCGAUCCUGGGUAAAGGAUACUUGUUUUUGAUAGUGACUUUGUUCAACUGUCUGUAGUCGACACAAAGUCUAAGUGGUCCAUCCUUCUUUCUGACCUUCCUAUACCCAUACGUACAUCUCUACUCUGAUCCUCCUCCAUAGCAACUCUCUCUUCUUCUGAUCUUCCCCCUCUGCCUAUUCCUCUUCUGCUCUCGUCAGAAGACCUUCUAGGGUCUCUUGACGUUCCCUCCCUGCUUGACCUGUGAGUCCUUGCCCUUGGCAAUGCAGGAGGACGAGCAGCUGUACCCUCACUUUUAGGUGGGACUCCAGUCAAUCUCGCGGAUCGACGAGUUCCUCGCAUCUUAACUCUCUCUGGAAAACAACACAUAACAAAGCACAUAAGCAACACAUAAAAAAAAUGCACAUGCAUCAUGGCAUUGCACCUCAGCAGAUAGACAGGACUAACAUCCUAUCCUAGUGGACAUGUUUUCCUAUUGUGCUUGACCCACUAAACCUCUAUGAGCCCAACUCUAUCUAUCUAGGUCCGACCAUGUGAACCUAGGGCUCUGAUACCAAUCUGUAAUAGCCCGGAAACCGAACUGCUACCGGCACUAUGAUCCAGAUCGACUUAAGGUCGCUGGGACCCGUAGUAAGCCUGCUAUACUGUCUGUGUACCUGUGAAAUCCCAUACAUGAGCAUACAUUUUCUGUCAAACCAUUCAAACUUUUCUUUCCUCCAGGGCUUAACAUGUGCAUGCACUAUUUCUGAUCUAUCAACUCAUAAUGUUAAGCCUGGUUUUCUCAUAUGCAUAACAAUAAAAGAAAACAUACAUAAAAUGAUCAUGUGUAUACCAAAAGGGGAUUACAACUCUUAUAAGUCAAGCACAAAGCUACACACUAUACAUUAUCUCUUUACAUGUACAUGUCCACACUAGCUAUUACAUAACUCUUCUUCUUGCAAACCCUGCUGGACUCCCUCUGGACUCUGAACCUGCAAACCUGGGGGAUAGGGGAGAGGGAUGAGCUAUACAAGCCCAAUGAGCAGAACUCUAAACCGGAAUUUUAAAACAUGAUCUCAUGGAAUGCACUACAUCACAUCAUCUCAGAGAUAGACAUGACCGCCAAAAAUCCCACUGAAAGGAUGCCUGGCCUAGCCAGGUCUUACAACCUCAAUCUGCCUGGCCCGGCCAGGUCUUACAACUCUGCCUGCCUGGCCCAGCCAGGUCUUACUAUCUCUGCUGCCUGAUCUAGUCAGGUCUUACCUACAGAUGGCUGCUUGGCCCGGCCAGGUCUUAUAACAGAGUUUGGGCUAUUGGAGUCGCCUUGGUCUAUCCACAGCCUCAUAUACAUCGUAUUAUGCAAUGCGUCAUCUUCGUGAAACUAAUGCAAACAUCCUACUAUAAUCUUAUGAUGCAUGACAUAUGCUCAAAGCAGUUUAGUUCUGAAAAGAGAAGUUCCACUCACCUCUGGCUGACUCUGUACUCACUCUGCAGGUUCUGAAACAAUGCUCACUGCUGCUCUCUGGGGUUCCUCUGGUCCGUACCUACACAGGUGGACUCAAAUGAGGGACCAAGAAACUCCCCAAAAACCCUCUACAAGAUCCCCAAACAAUCACAUAAAACAUGCAAAAGAAAGCUGGACAGGGCACUUUCGGCGGCAAGUUCGGCGGCUGAAACCCCUCUCCAGAGACGAAACUCAUGCAUGUUCGGCGGCACCUUCGGCGGCCGAAGGUCUCGUCCAGAGACGAAACUCGCACACUUUCGGCGGCCGAACUCCCUCUUUUCUAAACCGAAAGCCUAGCUUUCGGGGGCAAGCUUUGGCAGCCGAAACUGCCUCCAUAAGGGGUUCGGCGGCCGAACCUUCCUUCGGCGGCCGAACCUGGUUUUGCCCGCUGGGCAGAACCCUGCUCUGUUUCAUGCAAACCUUUCCCCCAAACUUACCCAACAUGCAUAUCAACUACUCCCAACUAGCACAUACCAUAAAACAUGCAUAAAAGGGCCUAAAACUCACUUAUAACCCCAAGAAACAUAUCAAACAACACUUAAACAUGCUUAAACACUAAAUCAUGCAAAACCUCAACCAAAACCCUAUUCAUGCAUACUAUCCAUCCAACUCCCAGAAGACCUUCAAAAAUCAGUAAAAGAGGUUCUGGAUCUUGACUUACCUCUUCCAAACAAGAGAUCAAGUGAUCCUAACGUGGAGAUAUGGAGAAAUCUCCUCACAACUCUCCAAACUUCAAAACUUGGUUCUUUUGCUCAAAACUCUCAAAACCUUCAAAAACACAUGAAAACUCUUCAAAACCUUACACGAUUUGAGCAAGAUCAUGAAAGUCAACUAGGGAGGGUGUUGGACUCACCUCUGGCUGAAGAUGGAAGCAAAAUAUCAUCUUUCCACCGACUUGGCACCCUUUUAUAGGUGGCUGGCCAGACCACCUUCGGCGGCCAAACGUGAAUCCGAAACCAUGUAAGGUUCGGCGGCCGAAAGUCACCUUCGGCGGCCGAACUUGCCAUUUUCUCCCUUGGCUCUUUUCUUUCAAAAACUCAUUUUCCUUUAUACUUAAAACCGUAAAACAAGUCAAAAAUACAUAAGAAAACAUAUGGAUUACCCUUCUCGAGGGUUCCGACACCCGAGAUUCCACCAGACUACAAGAAUUCCAAGGCCGGACUCGAGCCGGGUAUUACAUUUAUAUAAUAACAUAAAUUAUUAAUUAAAAUUUAAAAUAUGAAAAAAUAUAAAAUUUUACAAUUAAAAAUAUAUAAUAUUUUAUUUAAAAUAUUAUUAAUAGAAGUAAAAUUUUUCAAAUAUAAAAAAUAUACAGUUAAUUUAUAAAUAUUAAGUAUAAGCAUUCAAUGAAAUAUUUUAAUAUAUAUUUUUUAUAUUUAAUAUUUAAUAUAAUAUGAAUUUAUUUGAAAUAAAUAUUUAUAAUAAAUUUAAUAUUACAUAUAAUAAAUAUAAGAUAUAUUUAAUUUUAAUAUAAAAUUUAAAUUAAAAAAUUAUAUAUUUUAUUAAUAAUAUAAAAUUUUAAGAACUUUAUUGUAAUUUAUCAUUAAUUUUUUUAAAUUUAAUUUAAUCUAUAAUUAUAAUAAAUUAAAAAAUUUUAGUUUUAUUAUAUAAAAUUUAAAAUAUUAAAUAUAAAUAUAAAUUAUAGUAAAUAUUUAAUUUUUUUUAUUCAGUGCUCUAAAUAAAAAUAUAUAUUAAAAUUAGGUCGUGUGAAGGUGACAGCUUAACGACCACUCUUGUUCUUGAUGGCCAGCCAGCUCAAUCACCUUAUCAAGCUUUAUUUGUGGAGAAUGCUCUUCAUAUAGUCCAUUUCCUUGUUUACACAAAGGCAAAUGGAAAAUAUUUGGGACUUUUUAAGAAAUUGAUUAAUAAUUGCAAUUUUUAAGAAAUUUCUCCGUAUAUUUUAAGAAAUUGAUUAAUAAUUGCAAUUUUAAGAAAUUUGUGACUUUUUCCAUAAAGUGUUGGGUACAGAAUUAUUGCGUGAUUUUCACGGCAGAGGCUCCUUCGUGCGAAAUACCAAUUCAGAAUGUGAGAUUCCCGGCCAACUCAUUGUCCUUAUGCUAGGAUUUCGACGGGAACGUGCGCAUUUAUUUUUUUGAAAAUGGAUCGGGAGAAGGAAAGGUCGAGACAACGCCCGCAGGAGAGUAAAAGUCAGGGAAAAGAACGCUGCUUAAGGUCAUUGUCACUUCGGAUUUCACUAUUUGUCUUGCUGUUUUAUGGUUUUUUAUUUUUUUUAUUUUUGAUUUUGCAUUUGAGUCUCUCUUUAUUUUCAAUUAAGAGAGAUUUUUCCAUCCUCUUUUAUCUCUCCCUCGUUGUAAAAGGCUGAUGUGAGUUUGUUGUUUUGUUUUUGUUUGUUUCGUUUUAAUUUAUUUUAUUUUUUAACUUUUGGUGUCAUUAGAGAUUAAUAGUUUUUAUUAGAUUUGAUUUUUGAAGAGUUUGACAAUUCUAUUCUGAAAAUUAGAGAUAUUUUCUUUCAAUUUGAUGCUGACAAUUUGGGAUUAUACUAAUAUCUCUGGAGGUUCACGCUCUUUUAAACUUUUAAGCUGACAAUCGACUGAUUUUGCAAUAUCAUUUCCUUGUUGGUUUCGUUUUAUCUUGUGUCGUUUUUGUGAAUUCUCUUGUAAGCUUCCUUAUUUUAUUUGGCAUGCAUGGUUACUAUUUUCUUGUUGUUGUCCUCUGGUUGAUUACUAGCAAGGUUGAAUAGCAUGUUUUUGCUUAUCUAGUAGACAUCAGUGUUGCUAGUUGGUUAUGGUGGUGAGGAGUGUUUUGACAAAAUCAUAUAUUGCUUUUGGGUUGUGAAUUGUUGCAAGGCGUUCGAAUAGAAGCACAGAGAGAGAGAGAAAAAGGAAUUUGAAAUCUUUAUUUCUGAAAAAAUAGAGAGAAAAUUACAUUGUCUGGAAGUUUCGCUUCCUUAUAUAUCCAAACAUGAACACGUGACCAACACGUGAAAUCAUAAAAGACAAACAAGCUACAGAAUGCAUAAAAAAAGGAAAAUUUCAUGUCUUAGGCAAGCCAAUUUGUACAUCACUAAAACAAUGCGUAUUAAUCAAAACGAUGCAGCUUUAUAACUCAACACUCCCUACUCAAGUUGAAGUUGGUAGAGGCAGAAGAUUCAACUUGUGGGCCAUAAGAUUAUGACGGCUUGCUGGGAGUGCCUUAGUGAGGAUGUCAGCCAAUUGCUCUUAGGUAGGAAGAUAUCUCGGAGAAAUAAAGCCUCGUUGAAGUUAAUUUCGCACAAGAUGGCAGUCAAUCUCAAUAACACUGGGUAAGCAGCAAUGUGCAUGGCUGCUUUGCUGUCACAGUGUAGCAAUUUGGGCAGUUUAAUGAGUACCUGCAAAUCCUGCAAAAUGUAACUAAUCCAAAGAAGUUCACACACAGUAUUAGCCAUGGCACGGUAUUCAGCUUUAGCGGAAGACUUGGAAACAAUAGUCUGUUUCUUUGUUUUUCAAGAGAUGAGACAAGGUCCCAAAUAUAUACAAUACCCAUAUAGAGACUUACGGGAAUAAGUACAAGUUGCCCAGUCAGAAUCACAAUAGGCACUAAGAGAUAGGUCAUCAAUCACAGGAAAGUGAAGACUCUGGUGCAAGGAUCCCUUAAGGUAGCGAAGGACAUGAAGAGCAGCUUCCAAUGGGGCUUUCGGGGCUUACUCAUAAAUUAUCUUAGAUGCUGAACAUCAUAAUAAAUGUCUGGUCUUAUUGAGUUAAUGUAAAGGAGUCUACCAAGUAAUCUUCUGUACAUUUCAGGCUCAGAUAGGAGAUCCCUUGAGUUAGGGGUCAAAUGCAAGCCUUGAGGUAAGGGGGAAGAUGCAAGUUUGCAUUGAAGCAUGCCUGCAUCUUUGAGAACAUCACAAAUGAAUUUUGUUUGGCUGAUAAUAGUUGCAUGUGAAGAUCUUGCAAGUUCCAGCCCUAGAAAAUAUUUCAUUGGGCCCAAAUCUUUAAUGGUAAACUUUGAAUGUAGGGCCAUUUUGCAUUUAUUGAUAGCAUUAAUAAAAUUGCUAGUUAAUAUAACAUCAUCAACAUAUACCAGCAAGAUCAAAAGCACAAUGUCAGUAUGCUGUGUGAAAAGACAAUGGUCAUGAGAAGAUUGCUCAAAACCUAAAGUCUUAAGGAAGGCUGAAAAUUCAAUGUUCUAUUGCCUAGAGGCCUGUUUAAGGCCAUAUAGAGACCUUUGAAGCUGACAGACUUGACCAGGUUGGGCCUUGUAAUAGCCCUGGGGAGGUACCAUGUAUACCUCUUCAUCCAAAUGCCCAUAUAAGAAGGCAUUAUUGAUGUCCAGCUGAAAAAUGGGCAAUUAUUUUACGGUUGCCAAGGCAAUAAAAAUUCUCACUGUGGUAAGUUUUACCACAGGUGAAAAUCUAUCUUUGUAAUCCAACCCCUCAAUUUGGUUGUAACCUUUGGCAACCAACCGGGCUUUAUACCUAUCUACUUCCCCAUUAGGCUUGAACUUCACUUUAUAUACCCAUUUACAGCCUAUGGCCCUUUUGUUCUUAGGCAAACUGGUGAGGGUCCGGGUAUUGUUGUUUUCUAAGGUCUGAAGCUCUUGCUCCAUGGCCUCAACCCAGUGAGAAUCCUUGGAGGCCUGUGAGUAGGUGUAAGACUCGUGAGCCUUGUUAACAUUGCAAAUGUAGGACCUGUGUGAAGGACAGAAGGACAGUGAUGCUGUUUACAAAGGAUCUACAUAAUCCUGCAUCCAAAUGGGUGGUUGUCUAGUCCUUUAAGUCCUUCUAGGUGAAGGACAGACUUGAGGCUUAGUGUUAAUAUGGCUUUGCUCACUGGCCCAGGUUCUCGGGCAAUCAGGCUCUAUUAUAGAUAGGGGAAGCACAAGGCCCUCACUGUUAUCACUAUUGUGUUUGAAGGGGAAGAUAUCUUCAUGGAAGACGACAUCUUUACUAAUAAAAAGGCAAUUGUCAACAAUAUUGUAUAGUUUAUAGGCUUUAUGGGUGUUGGCAUAUCCUACCAUAACAACCUUAAUGGCUCUUUCUUGAAAUUUGUCCUUCCUAUUGCCCACUGUGGUGGUAUAGCAUAGGCAUUCAAACUUCCUAAGAUGGUAAUAAUGGGGUAAGGUUCCAUAGAGCCUUUCAUAGGGUGUAGUCUAGUUGAAUUGUUCCAUUGGCAUUCUAUUAAUAAGGUAAGUGGCUGUUAGAUUCUGUAACGACCCGAAAAUCGGACCGCUACCGGCGCUAGGAUCCGGGUCGACUUAAGGCCGCCGGGACCCGUAGCAAGCCUGACAUAUAACCUGUAAACCUGUAUAAUCCCAUACAUGAACGACAACAUGCAUAAAAAAAUUUUAAACUUUUCUUUUAUCAUCCAACUCAACCUGAACAUUCAUGAACAUAGUCAUAAUCAUGACCCCUCUGUGGGAUCUCAACAAUGCCCCAAAGAGCACUAUAACAUGAGAUGAGUUGGCUUACAUCUGUAUCAUCAAAUAUCUAAGAUCAUGNNNNNNNNNNNNNNNNNNNNNNNNNNNNNNNNNNNNNNNNNNNNNNNNNNNNNNNNNNNNNNNNNNNNNNNNNNNNNNNNNNNNNNNNNNNNNNNNNNNNNNNNNNNNNNNNNNNNNNNNNNNNNNNNNNNNNNNNNNNNNNNNNNNNNNNNNNNNNNNNNNNNNNNNNNNNNNNNNNNNNNNNNNNNNNNNNNNNNNNNNNNNNNNNNNNNNNNNNNNNNNNNNNNNNNNNNNNNNNNNNNNNNNNNNNNNNNNNNNNNNNNNNNNNNNNNNNNNNNNNNNNNNNNNNNNNNNNNNNNNNNNNNNNNNNNNNNNNNNNNNNNNNNNNNNNNNNNNNNNNNNNNNNNNNNNNNNNNNNNNNNNNNNNNNNNNNNNNNNNNNNNNNNNNNNNNNNNNNNNNNNNNNNNNNNNNNNNNNNNNNNNNNNNNNNNNNNNNNNNNNNNNNNNNNNNNNNNNNNNNNNNNNNNNNNNNNNNNNNNNNNNNNNNNNNNNNNNNNNNNNNNNNNNNNNNNNNNNNNNNNNNNNNNNNNNNNNNNNNNNNNNNNNNNNNNNNNNNNNNNNNNNNNNNNNNNNNNNNNNNNNNNNNNNNNNNNNNNNNNNNNNNNNNNNNNNNNNNNNNNNNNNNNNNNNNNNNNNNNNNNNNNNNNNNNNNNNNNNNNNNNNNNNNNNNNNNNNNNNNNNNNNNNNNNNNNNNNNNNNNNNNNNNNNNNNNNNNNNNNNNNNNNNNNNNNNNNNNNNNNNNNNNNNNNNNNNNNNNNNNNNNNNNNNNNNNNNNNNNNNNNNNNNNNNNNNNNNNNNNNNNNNNNNNNNNNNNNNNNNNNNNNNNNNNNNNNNNNNNNNNNNNNNNNNNNNNNNNNNNNNNNNNNNNNNNNNNNNNNNNNNNNNNNNNNNNNNNNNNNNNNNNNNNNNNNNNNNNNNNNNNNNNNNNNNNNNNNNNNNNNNNNNNNNNNNNNNNNNNNNNNNNNNNNNNNNNNNNNNNNNNNNNNNNNNNNNUUGGGCCAAAUCCACUUGGGGAAGGAUGCGUUUGUCGAGAACCCAAGGGGACAAAUCCUGCCUGGAACCCGUGAGGGUGAAGGGAUGUUAAGAGCUGCUCACGACGCCAGUGGAAAGCCCGAGGUGGCAAGAGGCCAGGCGAGGGAUAGCCCUGGGCCGUGAGUGGUAACAGUGCCGUGCGAGAAAGGGCCGGGCUGUUAUUUACAGUUGGCAAAGGAUCCAUUCUCAAGUUUUGGUCUCUAACUGAUCCAAAGACCUCAUUCAGGCCCAUUAAAAAUUGCAUAAACUUGUUACGAUUAGUUAUCUUAGCAAUGGCUCUGGACGCUCCACAUGUACAGGCAGGGAGAGUUUCCAUCGAGCCAAGCUUGUCCUAGAGUCUCUUUAGCUUAGUAAAGUAGACCGAGACUGAAGCAUUCUCUUGAGCUAUAGGGGAGAUUUUUCUGUGCAACUCAUGUACCAUGAGUCCAUUGCAUUCUCCAAAUCUCUUACUGAUCUCUAGCCAGAGAUCUCUGCCUGAGGCAGUGUAUACAAAUCCAUCCACCAGUUCUUUAGAGAUGGAAUUCAAGAUCCAAGAUGUGACCAUAAAAUCACAUCUCUUCCAUUGUUCAUAAUCCUUAGAUUUUUUACUAGGUGCCGAAACUAUUCCUUCGACAAACCCUAACUUCAUCUUGGCACCAAAGGCUAUUCUAACAGCCCUAUUCCAAGUUCGGAAGGUAAAUCCUACCAGAGGUGCAGUGACUAAAGUCAUACCUGGAUGAUCGAAAGAUUGGAAACUCAGAUGAUCUCCCAUUCCCUUGUCUUGGCUUUGUCCCUUUUCUGACGACGUACUCUGCUUUUGCUCUUUGCUACUAUUUUCCCAUUCUGUCAUUGCCAGAUCUAUCGAGGACACUCAGUAAAACUCUCAUGCAGGACAUAACACAUCGCCAUGAGCUAACCUUAGCUCUGAUACCAAGUUUGAACAAAAGUACUGAGAGAAAGAAAAAGGAAUUUGAAAUCUUUAUUUCUAAAAAAAAGGAAUUUGAAAUAUUUAUUUCUGAAAAACUAGAGAGAAGAUUACUUUGUCUGGAAGUUUUGCUUCUUUUUAUAUCCAGACAUGAACACGUGACCAACACGUAAAAUCAUAAAAGACACAAAAACUACAGAAGGCAUAAAAAAAGAAAGUUUCACGUAUCAAGUAAGCCAAUUUAUACAUCGCUAAAACAAUGCGUAUUAAUCAAAACGAUGCAGCUUUAUAACUCAACACAAGAGUAUUGCAAAUUUCUGAUUGUGGGCCUCUAGAUCUUUCUAGAUUGGAUUUGUGGGUUUUGUUGAUUUGAUAAUGGGCUGUUGUUGUAUUUUAAUUUAUUGAAUUGGACUCCCACCCUCUUAGUACUUUAAUUAACUAACUUUAGCCAUAAAAAUACAAGCUAUUGCAUUGUUAAAGAAAAAAAAAAAAAGAUUUGACUGUUCAAAAUUAUUGCUUUUUUUUUCUUUGGAAUUUAUGGCUCUUUUUAUAUUUCAUGAAAAAAAAAAUUAAAAUUCUCCAUAAACCAAUCUAAUUUAAAACUUUAAACUGGUAUAAUAAAUUUAAUAUAAUUAUCCAAAUUUUAAAUUUAUAUUAUAAAUUAAUCCAAAUUAAGCAUUUAAUUUAGAGAGAUUCUAUUCCACUUCGCGUGAUAUAUUUAGGUAAUAUAGUGUAUGAGUAAAUAAUAAUUAAAAGAUAAAAUGAUAUUAAAAAUUAAGAUUUUAUGCUUUUUUUCGAUUUAACAUAAAACGUAAUUAAAAGAUAUAGUUAAAUUACAUAGUAUUUUUUUUAUUUUAACUUGAUUUUUAAUAAAUGAUUUUAUUUAAAAAAAAGAUUUUUUUAGAUUUCUAAUAAUUUAAUGAUGAAAAAGAGUUAUUUUAUUAAAAAAUAUUUUUUAUAAAAAACAAUUGUUAUAAAAAAUAAAUUUUAAAUAUUUAUUAUUUUCUACACGGAGUAAUUUUAAAUAUAAAUUAAUUUUCAAAUAAAUGAAGGCAUAAUUAUAUUUUAAAAGUAUUCUUAAUUUUUUAUAAAUUAAAACAAAUAAUUCCAAAUUAAUCUUUUAGCUCAAAUAACUCUAAAAAAUCUUCUUUUAAUGCCAAAUAAGUUCAGCUUCUGGCAAAAACAUGAGCACGCGAAAUAAAUGCCUUUAAAUAGAGAGUCAGCAAUUUUUAUAAUAAAAUAUCUAUCGUAUUUGACACGUGGCACCAUACACAUCACUAAUUUUUUAUGUAUGUUUUUUUCAAAUCCAAACUAUUUAUUAUAUUAAUAAAAUUUUAUAAAAUAAAAAAAUAUUAUUUCAAAAACCAAAGAGGAUCAUUUUUAAUAAAUAUUUUAAUUAAAAUAUCAGCAUUUAGAUAACGAAUUCAUCUAAAAAAUAUUAAUUUUAGAGUCUAAUAAAUAUUUAUAAUUAUUUAAAAUUAAAUUAAGUUUAGAAAUAUCUACAUAUGAAGACUGAAAAAUUUGAACCACUUAUAAACAGUGCAUAAAAAUACAAUCAUUACAAAUUAAAAAUUUUAUCGCAACAAGUAAAUAGUAACGAAAAAUUAAAACUUCAAUAAUAAUUGACAAAGUUUUACACAAUAAAACUGUAUGCAAUAAAAUUUUAAAUUUAAAAUAAAAUUUCAUCAAUUUGAUGAAGUCAUAGGAUAUUAUCUAAAAUUGAAGAUGAUACACAAAUUUUAAAAGGAAUAAUUUCAGAAUUAUGACCAAUUUUUUCAUAUAUAUUUCCCGUUGUUUUUCAAUUUAAUUAUUUAUUAUAAUACUAUUAAUUUAAUAUACCAUUUUAAUAUAUGAAAAUAAUGCGCUUGAAACACUCAAUAAUUUCUCUUUAAAUAUAUAUUUUAAACUAUUAGUGUAAACGCUAUUCUAUUUUCUUAUAGUUGAACAAUUUAAAUGCUAUGAUUUGGAAGAAAUUUAUGCAGGAUCAUAAAUGAUUAAUUAGACUCUGUCAAAAAUUUUAAUUAAUAUUAUUUGACUAAGACGAUAUAAGAGAAAAUAUAAGUUAAAAGACAAACAGUUUUAUUGAAAUAUCUCAAAAAUUUGGAAAGUAUGUUUUUAAUAAUAAUGGAGAUUAUUUAUAAUAAAAAUAAAAUUCUAAUAUGUAAAAUUAUGAAAAUAUUUAAAAUAUCAAAAAAAAUAAUUAAAAUAUAAAAUUGACCUCGAUAGGAUUUUUAUAUCGAACUUUGUGACUAGGUCUAUGACCCUCAUUACGCUUUUGAAAGUUGUGCGUCUCGAAAUUUUUUUUCAAAAAAAUUAUCGUGGAUCUCUAUCAGACAUCGGCAACAAAAGUUAGGUCUCCAAAUCUGCAGUAAAAUUUAAAACUAAUUGCUUUCGGGUCACAAGAUAUUGAUAUAUUUAAUUAAUAAUUUUCCCUCCGAUACUUGUUAAGAUUCAAAAUCAUGACUUUAACUCUAAUAUCAAAAGUAAAAUCGAGCACUUAUUAUCAUAUUAAAGGUUUUGACUAUUAACAAAGAUACAAUUCUAAUUUUUUAUAGUAUAGAAGUCGAAGCGCCAUAUUUCGAAGGGAUUUAACAUUGAUCCAUCUGACCAAUACUAACCACGAGGACACAAUUAUAGCAAACUAAAAAUAACUUACUAAUUAAAGCAUAAUGCAAAGCACACUUAAAAUUCUUAAGGUUCUCAAAUGUACUGCUUUGCCAUGAGGCAAAGAGCAUUUUUCUUGUGGAUGGCAAGGCCUGGUACCACUUCCAUGUCCAAGUCUUCAUUGCUCAUUCCAAAAGGCAUCUCCCAAUCAAAUUUGUAAAGCAAAUUAGCAAGAGCUAACUUCACUGUUGGAAGUGCUAUACUUACACCAGGACACAUUCUUCUCCCACCUCCAAAUGGGAUUAGCUCAAAAUUUUGUCCUUUCAAGUCAACAGAACUGUUGAUGAAUCUCUCAGGACAGAACUCUUGUGCAUUUUCCCAAACUUGUGGGUCUCUUCCAAUUGCAUAUGCAUUCACAUAAACUGUAGUUUUUGCUGGGAUUUUGAACCCAUCUAAAUUGCAAUCCUCAGUUGUUUCUCUUGGGAUUAUGGGAAAUGCAGGUUGUAAUCUCAUUGUCUCUUUCACCACAGCUUUCAGAUAAGAUAGUUCUUGGAUUUCAUCUUCAUUUACAAAACCUUUGUUUCCAACUAAACCUCUGACUUCUUCUUGAGCUUUCUUCAUUUUUGUAGGAUUCUUCAUCAGGAAUGUCAUGGCCCAAAUCACAGUUGCUGCAUUAUUGUCUGUUGCUCCAAUAACUAUAUUCUGCAACAUUUGGAAAAAAAAUAAUAAAAAAAAGAAGAAAUGUAUUAUUUAAUGAACUCAAACAGUGUAUAAAAAUUUUUUUUCAUUAAAAAAUAAUAUAAUAAUAACCAUUAACACUGCUUUGAUGUGAUUAAAUGUGACUUUAAACUUGAGAGAAGUAUCAUUCCGGAGUUUAAGUAAGCCAUCAAGAAUAUCUUCUGAAUGAUCAUCAAGCUCUGAUCUAUCAUAAUCAAGGUGUUCUUGGAUAAUCUUGUCAUAGAAAAUGUCAAAUUCUUGGAAAUUUUUUUCCAAGCGAUGGAUCAAUCCAGUGAGUUUAUCAACAAAACCCAGGAGAGGAAAAUAGUCUGAAACGAAGAAGCUCGUGAAAAGGGUCUCAGCUUCUAUAUGUAAAGCUUGAAAUCUACUAUUUUCUUUCUUGUACCUCUGCCCAAAAGUAAUCUUACUGAUUAUAGUAUUUGCAAGAGACAUGAUAGCCUCAGUGAUAUCUACAGGUCGGGAAGCAGAAGCUAAACCGCAGAUCUCCCCAAGCAUAUGGGAAACUUCAGAUUCUCUAAUGGGACGGAAACUUCUGGCUCUAUUGGAGCUAAAGAGAUGAACUUUACAUAUUUUCUUCAUCUCUUUCCAAUAAGAACCAUAAGCUGCAAAGCCUAUGUCUAAGCCAUUGUAGGACAACUUCUGCUGGCUAUGCUUGGAAGGCCUGGCAGAAAAAAUGUGGUCAUGGGUUUUCAUUAUUUCUUUAGCCAUUUUGGCUGAGGAAACAACUAGAACUGGUUCAAAGCCCAUGCGCAAAGACAUUAGAGGUCCGUACUUCUGAGAAAGUUUCCAUAGAGAGAUAAAAGAGGCUGAGUUAUGAAGUUGAUGCAAGUUGCCUAUGAAGGGAAGAGCUCGAGGACCUGGUGGGAAAUGAGGAUCUGUUUUUGUUUUGCGAUUUCGGAGAAGAAACAAGAGGAAGCUUAGGACAACUAAUGCAAGGAAGACAAGUGAAACCAUUGUAGCUUGUGAACUCAAUAACGUCCCAAGAGUUUGACAAAAGCUUUUCCUAACACUAAUGGUUUGGUGUUUCUGUGUGCAUCUCCCACUGAUUUAUAAGGUUGAAAUUGGUUGAGUUAAUAAAUAGAACAGUCACUGUUAUGUCUUCUAUUGUUUUAAAAUAUAUUAAAAUAUUUUUUAGAUAUUAAAAAAUCUAUUAAUUGAUUAUUAUGUUAAUUUUAGCUUUCAACUAUUUUACUAUUUAUAAUUCGUGUAAUAUGAAAAAAUUUAUUAAUUUAUUAAAAUUAAUAAAAUUAUUAAAAUUUUAAUAUUGCAGAAAAAGAAAAAACAUGUUAAUUAAGAGUGCAAAUGGAUGACAUAGCAUAAUUAAGGGAAUAUUGCAUGCCUUCCAAAAAGAGGGGGACAAAAUUGUACCUUAUAUUCCAGUGCAUCAAAACCCUUGCAAAUGAACUCAAACAAAUAAAUAUUUAUAAUAAUUUAUAUUUAUAUGAAAUAUUUUAAAUUUUUUAUAAUAAAUUAAUUUUUUUAAAUUUAUCACAGUAUAACUAAGACUAUUGAAUUAAAUUUAUAUAAAUUAUCGAUAAAUUAUAAUUUGUUAACUAAUUUUUAAAUAAUGAACUUAGGUGACUAUUAUUUCUAAAAUUUAGAGUAAAAAUUUUAGAAAUAAAUUAAUAAAUUAAUUUAAAAUUUUUUCAAAUAAAUAUAUAAAAUAUUAAUUUAUACUUUUAAUUUUAUAAUAAUAUAUAUUAAAAAGGAGACUGAAAGGAAAGGGAAGGGAAGAGGCCAGGCGACAAUUUCUUUUUUCAAAUAUAAAUAAGUUAAAUUAAAUAUUUGUAAAAAAUUAAAUAAGUCUGAUAUAAUUUUUAGACAAAUAUAUAUAUACGCACUCACAGAUUUAAUUUGAUAAUAAAGUAUAUCUUAAUAAAUCUAAGAGAUCUCAUAAUUUUCAGUCUUUUAUUUCAAAUAUAUAUAUAUAUAUAUUUAUUUAAAAUUAAAUAAGUUCUCAUAUAAUAUAAUAUAUUUUUUAAUAAUAAAAUAUUAAUAAAAUUAUAAUCAAUAAUUUUAAAAUUACAAAAGUGAAAUUUUAUUAUAAAACAUAUUUAAAAAUAAUAUUAUAUUAAAUCUUACCUUAUUUUAAAUUUAAAAAAGUAUAAAGAUUUUAAUUCAACUUUUUUUCAUAUUAAAAUUAGCACGUGAGAAUUUUUUUUUGGUUCCAUAUUGCAUAAAGUGACAGCUUAACCACUGUCCACACUCUUCAAUGGAAGAUAACGGUUCCGACAUUUUAUCGUUUACAAUAGUCGAUAUUUCAUAUGAUUAAUAAUUUAUUAAUUAUUUUAUAUAUAUUUUUUAUAAAAUUAGCCAAUGAGACGUCUUUGUUGUUCCUUACUAUGCAAAGUAAUAAUUUAACUAUUAUUCAUACUUUGUAAAAGACAUUUUUGGGCCACAUAUAUAAUUAAUGCUAUUUCACGUUUUCCUCAAGAUCUCUGUCUGUUUGUACGUCUGAAUUAAUCUUAUCUUUCUUUGUGGCUCAAAAUCAUUUAAAAAAUAUCAUUUAAACAUGGUUGAAAAAAGGCAGUUUAAAAAAUUAUAUUAUUAUUUUAAUAUUUUUAUAAUUAAAUUAUGUUAAAAAAUAAUUUUAAAUAAUAUAUUAAAAAAAUUUUUUUUUUUUGAUAGCAGUUUUACCAAUAAUACUAACAAACCUUUAGUUGCCGUAAAUGGUGACUGAAACGAAAAAUAAAAUAAAAUGAUAAAAUUUGAGUUGUGUUAAAUAUUGUUAUUAAAAAUUUAUUUUGUAAUUUUUUAAAAUUAAAUAAAUUUUUUUAAAUUUUAAUUUUUAGGAUUAGAAUAAUAAAAUUUAUUUUUAAUUUAUAACCUAAUAGAAAAGAGAGAAAAUAGAGAAUAAAGUAAAAAAAUAGAAUUCGUUAUCUUUAUAAAAAUGGAGACUAUUUAUAGUGAAAAAAUCGACCGUUAUAUAUGAUUAUAAAAAUCUUGAGAUAAUAUAAUAAAAUCAUAAUAAUUAGAUUUAAUAUUAUAUUUAAAUCUCAUAAAUAAAAUAUUUAAUCACUAUAAAAUUUUCAAUAACCAUAAAAUUUUUAAUGGCCAUAAAAUCUUUUGAAAUCUAAACUAAUUUUACAACAAUCACCUACACAUUUCAAAAGAUUUUUUAUUGCUGGAUUUAAAAAUUUAGUGUAUAUGUUUCAAAUCUAGUGUCUUUUACAUUAUGAACCAAAUCUAGAUUAAUAAGACUUAACAUAUAGAGUAAUUGGUGAAACUUUUGUUUCUAUGAACCAAAAACUCUUUUUUUUGUAUGCUAAUAUUCUAUCAAUCUCAUAACACUCCAUAUAUCUUGUUGUCAAUGCUGUUUUGCGCUAAUAGACCAUGCGUGUGCAUAGUAGUUUAUAAGUGCUAUAGAGAUUAUACCACAAUCUCAUAGAAACAGCCCCACUCCACACUUAUAUAGGUGAUAUCAUCAAGUGUAUACUGCAAUUUAUACAAUACCCAUAAGGGAUAUGAAUAUCAUUAAGAGUUUUCAUCUCAUCCUCUCAUUAAUGCAGUCUAGCACUUCUUACACUAUAGGAAUGGACAAUAAUAAAUAGUGCUAUCAAAACUAAUAAGUGACUUGUUAUUAUCCAUAUAAAUCUUUUUCAUGGGAUCUCCAAUCACAAAAGUUGGGUUUCCAUCACUGUAAAUUUCAAAGUGGCUCAAGUCACAUUCCUCUCGAUGUUUCAUCUAUUAGUUUUCUCUCUACAGGUUUGGUCAGGGGAUCGGCCAAAUUCACUUCUGACUUCACAUAAUCAAUGAAAAUAUUUUCAUCUUUCAGCAGCUGCUUAAUAACAUUAUGUCUCAGACGAAUAUGUCUAUUCUUACCAUUGAAAGUUUUAUUUUUUGCAAUAGUUAUUGCCGCUUGGCAAUCACAACGCAUUGAUACAGAUGGUGUUUGUUUUAUUCCCAACGGAAUAUUUGCUAAGAAGUUUCUUAGCUACUCAGCUUCAGUUCCAACUAAUUCCAGUGCAAUAAAAUCUGACUCCAUUGUGGAUUUAGCAAUGAUAUUUUGUUUGGUUGAUUUCCAUGUAAUUGCACUAUCUCCUAGAGUGAAUAUAUAGCCACUAGUGAAUUUUAUCUUAUCUGAAUCUGAAAUCCAGUUAGUAUCACUAUAUCCUUCUAAUACAGAGGGAAAUCCACUAUAUAAAAUAUCAUAAUUUAUGGUAUCUCUCAAAUAUUUCAUUAGUCUAACUAGUGCAGCCCAAUAAUCGUUAUUGAGAUUAUGUUUAUACCUACUAAAUCUACAUAUACCAUAUAAUGAUCUAAGAAGUUUGUAGACUUUAUUUUUUUGAUCAGAAAUAAUACAACCAUCAGGUUGUACCAUAUAAAUUUUGUUUUCCAAGAGUCCAUUUAAAAAAACUGUUUUAACAUUUAUUUGAUGAAUAACAAGUUUAUGUAUAAAAGCUAAAACAAUUAAUACUCUAAUAGAAGAAAUUCUAACUAUAAGAGCAAAUGUGUCAAAAUAAUCUAUAUUUUAUUUUUGAGAAAAACCUUUUGCUACUAACCUUACUUUAUACUUUUCAAAUAACCCAUCUAGAUUAUAUUUUCUUUUGAAAAUCCAUUUACAACCAAUAGGUUUAGCUCCUUGAGGCAAGUCUACUAAAGUCCAAGUAACAUUUUGAGUAAUAGAAUCAAUUUCAGCUUUAAUUAUUUUUUUCCAAAAAGGAGCUUCAGAAAAUAAGUGUAAAAGUCAUUUCCAAAAGAAGUCUCUUUUUUUUUUUGUCUUUUACUUCUUCUUAAAUUUUCAUUAUUAUUUUCAAAAUGAUUUUCAUUAGGUGCAUGGGAAAUUUUCUCAACUUUUAAAGGAAAAAUAUGUCCAAAAAAAACUCAGCUUUUUUUAUCUCAAUUAUAGAGUUACAAUCAAGCACAUCACUUUUCAAAACAAGAAAUCUAUAUGCAGCACUAUGUUCAACAUAACCUAUAAACAUGCAAUCAAAAGUUUUUGAACCUAUUUUUUGUUUCUUAAGAUCAGGAAGAAUUAUUUUAGCAAGACACCCCACACUUUUAAAUAUUUUAAAUUAGGUGUAUAACUUUUCAAAGUUUAUAGGAUAUUUUAUCAGUUUUAUUAUAGGAUAUCCUAUUUUAUAGAUGACAAGCAGAUAAUAAAAUUUCCUCCAAAGGUUAUUAGGUGAGGAAGUACUUAUUAAUAAAACAUUCAUCAUUUCUUUUAAUGCUCUAUUUUUCCUUUCCGCUACUCAAUUAGAUUCAGGUGAAUAGGGUGGAGUAAAUUCAUGAAUUAUUCAUUCUUUUUCACAAAAGUCAUUAAAUAAGAAAUAUUCUCUACUUCUAUCUGAAUUAAUCCUUUUUAUUUUCUUAUUUAAUUGAUUUUCUACUUCAACUUUAUAUAAUUGAAACACAUCAAAUGUUUCAUCUUUGUUUCUAAACAAAUAUAUUUUAGUACAUCUAGAAUAGUUAUCAAUAAAAGUCACAUAAUAUUUUUUAGAAAAAAUUACUUUUUAGUCCUUGAGAUUUAACGUAAUUAACACUUCUUUCCCUCUAUUUUGGCGACCCAACACUUAAGUCCCUCACUUUCUCUUCCGUCCAAAUUCAUAGUCCUUCAGUCCAUUUAAGCCGUUUGGUCAAAGAGUCAAAGCUGAGAAGUGAUAAUUUUUUCCAAAAAUACCCUCUUUUCAACGUGAAAUCCCUAUCUUUCUUCUCUUUCAUAUCUUCUCCAUUUUCUUUUAUCCAUUGUUAAUUUUCCUCUUUUUUUUUUCUCUCUCUUUUUUUCAUCUUUCUUUCUCCCUCAUAUUUUCUCUAUUUCCUUUUGACAUCGUUGAUUUUUUUUUUCUCUUUUUCAUCUUUUUUCUCCCUUAUAUUUUCUCUAUUUCUUUUUGAUAUUGUUGNNNNNNNNNNNNNNNNNNNNNNNNNNNNNNNNNNNNNNNNNNNNNNNNUUUUUCUUUUUUUUUUUUUCUCUUUUCCAUCUUUCUUCUCCCUGAAGCAUUAUUUGAGAGUUGCAAAAAGGGUAGGAGUUAUGGUGAAGAAUCUACAGUGAAGAGACAUUGAGUUUGGGUUUCAUGAUUUUGAAAUAGCCGGACUUUUAGUUAAGGAUUUUGAAAUAGUGAGACUUUUAGUGAGGGUUAAUUUUGUCAAUUCACGUAUCCCAAACGGCUACUUUGGACGGAAGGACUACGAAUUUGGACAGAAGAGAAAGUGAGAGACUUAAGUGUUGGGUCGCCAAAAUAGAGGGACAGAAGUAUUAAUUACGUUAAACCUCAGGGACUAAAAAGUAAUUUUCUCUAUUUUUUACCACCUCUAGUCAUAAUUUGUUUUAAAUCCCUUAAGUCUGUGUGUAUUAAACUAAGCAAUUCAGAUUCUCUAUGUGUAGUUGAAUAUGAUUUUUUUUGUUGACUUAGAUUCUACACAAAUCUCACAUUUAUUUAAAUAUGUAUUACCCGUGCCAUAUAUUAUACCAAAAUAUUGUAUUUUUUUUAAUAUAAGAAGCACUAACAUAUCCUAAUCUAGCAUGCCAUAAAUCAAAAGAAUCAAGCAAUAAAGUACAAGAAGAUACAUUUCCAUUUGUUAUUGUAGAAAUAUUGAGAAUAAAAAGUCUCUGAUUACAAUAACCUUUUCCAAUAAAAAUAUCAUUUUUAGUCAGUAUAAUUUUGUCUAACCCAAAAGACAUCUUAAUCUCAACCUUUCCCAAUAGAGCUAUAGAAAUUAAAUUACCUCUUAUAUUAGGUACAUGAAAUAUCUCAUUAAGUGUCAAGGUCUUGCCAGAUGUGAGUUUGAUAAGAACUUUCCCUUUACCAAGGACAUUAGUAGUCCUAGAAUUACCCAAGUACAUAUGUUCUUCUCCUUCUUCCACUAUAGAGUAAGAGGUAAACGCAUUUCUGUUUGUACAAAUAUACCUAGUCGCACCAAAAUCUACUACCCAUUAUUGCACAUUAACUACAAGAAAAGUUUGAGGAAUGACCGCAGCAAUAAUUUCAUCUCUUUCAACUAAAUUCACUUUUGGUUUAGAAGGAUUGUCAUUUAUCACUCUUUUCCUGCACUGGAUGCAUUAUGACCCGACUUACCACAUACAAGACAAUAUAUUUUCUUUUUAAAGAUGGAAUUAUUAAAUUUAGAUUGGUAAUCAGGUUUCUUAUUUUCGUACAUGUUAUUUCAUUUGUGCACUUUUCCUCGUAUAAGGUUUGCUCUUGUAGCUAGCUCUUUACCUUUUGCAGUUUUAAGUUCCCUCCUGUUUGUAUUUUUAAUCUUCGAGAUGUCAGAAAAAGAUUUGGCGUAUAGAGCAGUAGACAGUGCAAAAGCAGAGACAGUGAUAACAUUUGGUUUCAUUUGUGUAAAGAUAAGUCCUUAAAAUUGUUGAAAAAAUAAAAUAAAAUAAUAAAAUCUGAGUCGUGUUGAACACUGUACUUAAUGAUUUAUUUUAUAAUCCAUCAAGUUUAAAUAUAUUCUUAUGAAAUUUAAAUUUUAGAAUUAGUAUAAUAAGAAUUUAUCUCUAAUUUAUAAUCCAAUAUAAAAUAUAAAGAAUAAAAAAUAAUAUAGAAAAAUAGAAUUUGUUAUUUUUUAAAAAUAAAAGAAAUAGUGAAAAAACCGUUAUAUAUGAUUAUAAAAAUUUUGAAAUAAUAUAAUAAAAUCAUAAUGAAGAAAUUUAAUAUUAUAUUUAAAUUUUAUAAAUAAAAUAUUUAAUAAUCAUAAAAUUUGCACCCAUUAUAAUUAUAAAAUUUUUAAUAAUUAUAAAAUUUUUUAAAAUUUAAACUAAUUUUAUAACAUUUUCAUGGGAGUGCUAGGUAGAGAAUUAAACACCGCGACUCAUGGGUCCAAGCAUUUCUUUUUUUCUUUUUGUUUUUGUUUUGACAUGAUGAUUAGGUAGCUACCGACGCAAUGUUGACAAUUAAUUAAACAGCAGGCCAACUUAAUAAUGUUUGUUAUUAUGGGAUAAUUAUUAAAAUAAUAUUUUUUUCAAAAAUUAUUUAUAUGAAAAUAAUUUAUAAAAGUAAUGUUUGCUCUAGAAAAUAUUAAUUAAUUUAGCAUUUUUAAAAAACAUUGAAAACGCUAAUGAAGUUAUACUCAUGAAAACGCCAAUGAAUGGUAAAUGAAAAUGGCAGCGAUGUCAGAUAUUCUGUGAGAAAUGAUUUUGUUGAAAAAUUAUUAUUAAAUCUUUAUAUAUUACUAAAACUAAUUGAAUAAUUUUUAUUAUAAAAAUAAAAAUAAAGCUUCAACAUUCAUAUUUAUAUUUUUAAAUUCAUGUAAUUUUAAUUAUUUAUAUUAUUUAGUUGAUAUAAUUUUAAUAAUUUAUAUUAUUUAUUAAUUUUGAUCAAAUUUAAUAGAUUUAAAUUAUUAAAUAUAUAAUUAUAUAAAAUUAAUUAUAGUUUUUUCAACUAUAAUUAUAUUAAAUUUAAACUGUAUUGAAAAUUAAUUAUAAUCCUUUAAAAAAUUAAAACGUAUUGAAAAAUUAAUUUUAUAUAAUUAUAUAAAAUUAAUUAUAAUUCUCUGAUCAGUAAUUAUGCUAAACUAAAACUAUAUUCAAAAAUAAUUUUAUGUAAUUAUAUAAAAUUAUUUAUAAUUAUUCUGUAAUUGUACUAAAUUAAAACUGUAUCAAACAUUAAUUUUAUAUAAAUAUAUAAAAUUAAUUAUAGUUAUUUAAAUGGUAAUUAUAUUAAACUGAAAUAAUAUCAAAAAAUUAAUAUUAUAUAAUUAUAUAAAACUAAUUAUUGUUAUCCUACUUGUAAUUGUACUAAAUUAGAUUCAUUUCAAAAAAUUAAUUUUAUCUAAUUAUAUAAAAUUAAUUAUAGUUCUCUAAACCGUAAUCGUAUUAAUUAAGAACCGGAUCAAAAAUCAAUUUUAUACAAUUAUAUAAAAUUAACUAUAAUUCUCUAAUCUAUAAAUGUACGAACCAAAAUAGUAUUAAAAAUUAAUUUUAUAUAAUUAUAUUUUCUGAACUGUAAUUAUACUAAACUGGAACGAUAUCAAAAAAUUAAUUUUAUAUAAAUUAUAAAAUUAAUUAUAGUUCUCAUUGUUGUAAUUAUAAUAAAUUAAAACCAUACUUUAAAAUUUAAUUUUAUACAAUUAUAUAGAAUUAUUUAUAGUGUUUUUUAAAGUAAAACUACUAAUUGUAUCGUCAAACAGAGAGACGACCAUACCUAAUAAAUUCUCUAACUAAAAUAUGAGCAGUUAAAAUAGCAUGACGACCCAUCUACCAGAAAUAUUUCAGAAACCCACAAUAACUAGUAAAUUUCCAUUCAACAUUACCUUCCGAAAUAACCAAAUCAAUAAAAUUUAAAGAAAAGUCAACCAUAGAAACAAACAUAUGACUCUUCCAUAUUAACGAAAUGUCUCCUCCUAAUUUUUGUCUAUUGACUGAGAAACAACCAUCAAAAUAUAAAAGAUUACAAAAAAAUUCCAUCGAUAACUAAGAGCUUUUGUUUCCAUUAAAAAUAAAAUGUCCGAUUUAUAUCUACUAACCAAAUCCUUUAAUACAUUAACUGUCCGGAAAUUACCGACUUCUCGACAGUUUCAACACAAGACGAUACGAUCAUUGUUUUCGGCUAUCCUGAUCUUUGACGGGAUAAAUAGCUUUGAUAAUGCCUAUUCGAAAUGCGAAUCAUAGUGUUCAUUCUUAUGAAAAUAGAAAUGAAAAGUAAGAUACUUUUUCUCGAAAUAUGGACAAAUGAAAGUUUAACUCCUAAAGAAGCACUUCACGAAACCUCCCAGUAAUUUGAUUUAUUUUUUUAUUCUUUUUCUACAUGCAGAAAAAAAAAAUCUUACAUUUAAAAAUAGAAAAAAAUCAACACAAGGUUACUUUACCCUUUUUUAUUUUCAUGAUAAAUUAAUUAAAUUAAGAAAAAAUUAAAAAAAAUAGUAUUGAAAUACAUUUUUAUUAUGAAAAAUUUAGAUUUAAAAAAGAAAAUACAAGAGACUCGAUUUACAAAGAAACCAUAGAGAAAAUUUUAAAUUAAAAUUAUUUAUAGUUUAAAAAUUAUACUAAAUUAAAAUUGUAUAAAAAGUUAAUUUUAUACAAUUAUAUAAAAUUAAUUAUAUUUUUUCUAAUUUAUUAAAUUAGAAUCAUAUUAAAAAAUUAAUUUUAUAUAAUUAUAUAAAAUUAAUUAUAAUUCUGAAUUGUAAUUAUACUAAACUGAAAUUGUAUAGAAAAAAUUAAAUUUACACAAUUAUAUAAAAUUAAUUAUAAUUUUUCAGACGGUAAUUAUACUAAAUUGGAACUGUAUGAAAAAUUAAUUAAAUAUAAUUCUUUUAACUGUAGUUGUACUAAACUGGAAUCAUAUUAAAAAAAAUAAUUUUAUAUAAUUAUAUAUUUAAUAAUUUAAAUCUAUUGAUUUUGUAAUUGUAUCAAACUGGAAUCAUAUUAAAAAUUAAUUUUAUAUAAUUAUAUAUUUAAUAAUUUAAAUCUAAUGAAUUUAAUUAAAAUUAAUAAAUAAUAUAAAUAAUUAAAAUUACGAGCUUAAUGAAAAAUUUUAAUUUUAUAAAAUAUUUAAAAUUUUGAUUGAUAUUUUAAUAAAUAAGAAAUAACCAAUUAAUUUUAGUGAUACAUAAGGACUUAAUAAUAAUUUUUGGACAAAAUCAUUCUAUCAAUAAACGGCUGAUUCUCAUUGCCACUGAAAAUAUCAACUAGUUAGUCAACUAUCUAAUUAAUAAUUUUUGGACUUAAAUUUCUCUAUCCAUCUGAAUUAGGGUUUUCUAUCUAUAGUUUCGUUAGUCAACUAGUUAAAAAAGAGAAUAAAUAUUUCAAACACUUAAAACACUUCUAUGAACACUUAAAUUCUUUAUAUUGUAUAAAUUACACUUUGAUCCUAAACUUAACGAACUAGACUUCCUAAACUCAAGUAGUGAGUCAAACAUGCUUUUGAGAAAUGAAAACAAAUAACAUGGUUGGAAAUGGACAUACGAGCAAUCAGCUCUCACUGGGAGGCUGAUUGUUUCAUGUGAAAAAUGACUCCAAAGUGCAAAUCAAUAACAUACCCAUUCACAGUAGAUUAAAGGAAGACCAGGUAAGGACCCAGCAGGGACUUCACAACUGGCAAUGGAAUGGCAGCAGCUUCAUCAACCACCAGUAGUUCCACUUGGGAGAGCUUUUGAUGUUCAUGUGGCUGUAUAUACUGUAUAAAAAAAAACAACACAAAAAUAUAAGCAAUUAAACACGUGUGGAGAUAUGCUCGUUAAAACAGAACAGGUAUACACAUAAAAUAUUUAUUAAAAAGAACAGAACAAGAAGAAAAGUUCUCUUAACAAAAAAGCUGAACAAAAUCCGGAUAUUCAUAGCACAAAACAUAGAUGGUUAGAAAUAGAUGUUAUUUCCUGCAAGGUAUGCUAAAUGGUAUUUCCUUCAAAGGAAAAUUUUAACUGUUAUUUCCUCAAAAAAGAAAGCUAAAGAUUAUAGCUUUUUCACUGAACUUAUAAGCUGAGCUAACUGCAUUGUCAGCCCACAGGACUGCAAAUGGGCUCCAUUUCUUCAUCAAUCAUAAAACAUGUGAACAUGUCAGAUCACAGAAUAAUGAUUACAUGGUCAACUGAUAUGCUAUCACAAUGUUAUGAAAUUCAUGAAGUAUAUUGCUUAAUUUACAUAUGUUGAAGAAGAAGGAAACACGGUUAUAAUAUAUCGCUGGUUUUAGACCACAUCAAAUAGAAAAGUGCAACUGUAAAAAUUGCAGAAAAGAAAAAGCAUGUUAAUUAGAGUGUAAAUGGAUGACAUAGUAUAAUUAAGGGAAUAUUGCAUGCCUUCCAAAAAGAGAGGGAGAAAAUUGUACCUUAUAUUCAAGUGCAUCAAAACCCUUGCAAAUGAACUCAAACAAAGUUUCAAAUUUUCAGGGCUUGGUGCAGUUACAAAUAUAUUUGAAUACCUAUAAAGGUGAUUUUUCUCAUUAGAAUAAUAGUAAAGAGAAGCGUAAUUUUUAAAAAUAAAAGUAAAAAGAAGAAAGAAUUAACAGACACUCGCAUGCAUACAUGAAGUAUGAAAAGUAUAGAAUUUAACAAUUUCAUUAUCCUGCUGCUAUGGCUCCAGCAACUGCUUAACCAAGUGCAGCAGAUUUUCCACGGCCACGAGCAGCAAGCAAAGCAAGGGUACUACGUAGUGUCUUAUCCAAAAUUGCAUCAAGAAAUGUGAUGACAGCUUUUCCCUGUUCAAAGAUAAAAAGUUUUUAUGUGCCAUUGACACCAUUUUAAGUCCCAGUCACAUCAGUUUAAAAUAGAGAGAGAGUGUGUGAACAAAAAUCUAGAUACUUGCCAAGGCUCUACCUGAUCUAGUGUGCAACACUUUUUUUAUCAAAGGACCAACAGGAAAAUCAUCAUGCAAUUGUUCUUUCAAAUUCUUCAGGUCUCGUUCUGCUUCUGAAAGACCUUCUGCGUCCUUCAAUCCAGGGGGAAAAAAUAAGUAUGCAAAGUUGAAUACUUUAUACAUCAACUAAAGAUAUCAACUAAUCAUAAUAAGAAAAUCUCACUAGAAAAGGUUAGACAAUACGAAGCUUCACUUAAAUUCUUGGCCAUGAUAGUAUAAUAAAGGAGAAAAUUGCAAUUCACAAUAAACAAUGAAAGAAUACACAAUGAAAGGAUUUUGAAAAAUUUCCACAUCACUAACUGCAUGUCUGUAAUUCUAAAAUUGACAAAAAGAAUUGUUACCUCUUUAACUGGAACUGGAGUAAUUGACCUUAUAUGAGAUGAAAUUGGUAAAGCAUUAAGUUCAUCAUCCAUAACCACACAAGCUUUGCAUGAAGCAAGUGAUAGUAGGAAUCGCUCGUUGAAGCGCCCAGCAGCCUCAGAGUGAGAUUCAGUACGAAACCUCUCUUGGAAAUCCUGCAAUAAGCAAACUUCUAGUAAAGAUUUACGCUUAUUGUUCAAGUAAGUACUUGUUAGCAGAGAUUCACACAUAAAGAAAGAAAAAUAUUGAAAUGCAAGACUGCUAAACAUGGCAGUUGAGAAAUUCUUGUUUUUUUUGCAACAUGAUUGAGUUGCUGCCAAGGUUGUGGAUUGAGUCUGCCAUAUUCUCCACUUAGUUAGUUGUUUUUUCCAUGUUCCCCAAUUAAGUAGUGGUCUUUAAUAAUUUCUUAAUUAUAGCAGGGUGUUCCUCCAUGUUGAGUUCAUGAUUUUCAGCUUCCUUGUUUGUAGCCCUUUAGUAUUUAAGUUUAGCAAAUCAAUAAAUGAGACAUGUUCAAAAUUGUCCAAAGUUGUUAAGUACUAAGGCUCAAGUGAUUUUCACGUUCUCUCUUAAUGAGCUUGUACAACCUUCUAUUUUUUCCACUCAAUUGUCCUAUAACCAGAUCCUAUUCUAGAGACCAUAUUAGUACUUAAGUAUAAUUUAUGAAGAACAGGCCAUUUAGUGAAUCUUAUCUCAAAAUUAUAAGAUUUACAAUGGUCACAACUAUAAUUUGAUAUUCAUCACCAGUAAAAUUGUAAGAGAUGCAUUCUUCAACACCAACAUAGUUUCAUAUCUCAAGCAUGCUCAACUAUGCAACUACUGGUCGACCACUCCAUAACAUAACAAGCAAAAAUGUGAAAAGAUGAGUAAAACUUAAAUAUGAACUUGCACAUACAAGAUGGAAAUUUUGUCUACCAAGUCAACCGUGUGUAGCAGAACAACAUUCUACAGGAUACUUAAUUCAUUGAGAAUUUCCUUUUAGUAUUUCUCCCUUUUAUAAGGUUCAGAAUUUUGUAGGUAUUAUCCAAAGACAACAUUUCAAAGUCAUUUGGAUAAAAUAAAUAUACAAAUAGACCUAAAAAAUAAUAGUAGAAAGUAUAUAAGGACUGGAUAUAAAUAAUAAAAUAAAGGCCCAAACAAAAAACUAUUUAGCUACACUGGAUAUGAAUUUAUACCAUGACCAUGGUGUAAAGACUGGUCAGUGAAGAGAGAGACCGUAACAGCAAGACAAUCAAUCCACCACCUUCUACCGUAUCUAUUGUUCUGGCCAAAAGAUUUGGAGUCAAAGCCUCAAAGUCCUACAAUAAAGGAAACAUAUCAAUAUAAUCAAAAUAGAAGAGACCACAAUAAACAGUUAUUAUGAGAUAUUUGCAUUUGCAAAAGCUAAUAAAAAGCAAAUGGAAAAUAAUCACCUGCAAUAUGCACAUUCCAAAAGUAUUUCCAAGUAUUCUUUCAGAAUCUUUAUACAAGCAAUAGGUUAAUCCUCCAGUUUCAACAAAAAGUGAAAAAGGAUCAACUUUCCCAGGAUCCAACAGUCCCCUCUGCAUUAGCUUCUUUAUCUGCUUCGCUCUCUUUUUCUUGUGACUACACAACCAUAACGACCCCAAUCAUUAUUAAUAAUUAUAUUUAUCAAUUAACUUCAAAACUAAGAAAAACUAUAUCAUAAACAUUGCUACGUCUAUAAUUCAAAACUUUAGCACGUAAAGACUCUGGCUUGAAAACAUUUUAAAAAUAAACAAACAACAAAAAAAACACUUCUAAAGAUCAAGAAUAAACCUGCUAAGUUCAAGUUUGUCUUUGUAGCACCAUAGGACAGUUGGCCUGGAUUUGACCACUGCCUUGCUUAGCAUGUAGUGAAGGUUCACAAUCUGCAUAAAAUAAAAAUCUUAGCAAGUAAAUAAAUUUCCCAGAACCAAUUGGAAAGCACAUCUCCAAAACCCCUUAAAAUUUUCAAUACAAAAACCAAAUUCCAAGCUCCAUAAUUUGGCAGACUUGGAACAUGCAGGAGAUGAGUUAGUAAACCAAAGGAAUGGAUUGCCUGGUCGCGCGACUUGUCACCAAUGAUGACGAACAUAGAGCGGUGCCUCAAUUUGACGCCAUUUUGAAUGAGAGUUCUGAUCCGCUCGUCCACCUUCUUUCUCAUUUUCUUCUUCCUCUCUCUUCACCUCAGGAAGCAAGAGAAGCGAAGCUUAAGCUUUGGCCUGAACCGAUGGCGGUUAAAUUCUUAAGGUUUAUGGCGGUUAAAUUCGACCACUGAACCGAUGCUAAGGCAGACGUUCAUUCUAUGAACCGGGUUCUAUUGAACCGGAUCCGUUUGCUGAGACCCGAGGAGUGAGGGACACUGAGGGAAGACAUAUCUCUUUAAAAAAUGCAGUACUCUUUUUAUUUUAUUUUACUUAAAAAAAUAUGAUUUGAUUUUAAUAAUAAUGUUAUUAUAUUUACUAAAUUUUAAAAUUAUAAAUUUAACUCUGAUAUUAAAUAUAAGUUCCAACAUUUAACAUUAUAUUAAAAGUUUAAUAAACUAUCAAUAGAGGUGGAACUCUAAUUCGUUAUAGUAUAACAUGCCAAAUACUAUAUUUCAAAGGGAUCCGAGUAGAAUGCUCAUACAAACUAGGAAAUAACUUACUAAUUAAAGCAUAAUGCAAAGCACAAUUAAAAUUCUUAAGGUUCUCAAAUAUACUGCUUAGCCAUGAGGCAAAGAGCAUUUUUCUUGUGCAUUGUAAGGCCUGGUACCACUUCCAUGUCCAAGUCUUCAUUGCUCAUUCCAAAAGGCAUCUCCCAAUCAAAUUUGUAAAGCAAAUUAGCAAGAGCUAACUCCACUGUUGCAAGUGCUAUACUUACACCAGGACACAUUCUUCUCCCACCUCCAAAUGGGAUUAGCUCAAAAUUUUGUCCUUUCAAGUCAACAGAACUGUUGAUGAAUCUCUCAGGACAGAACUCUUGUGCAUUUUCCCAAACUUGUGGGUCUCUUCCAAUUGCAUAUACAUUCACAUAAACUGUAGUUUUUGCUGGGAUUUUGAACCCAUCUAAAUUGCAAUCCUCAGUUGUUUCUCUUGGGAUUAUGGGAAGUGCAGGUUGUAAUCUCAUUGUCUCUUUCACCACAGCUUUCAUAUAAGAUAGUUCUUGGAUUUCAUCUUCAUUUACAAAACCUUUGUUUCCAACUAAACCUCUGACUUCUUCUUGAGCUUUCUUCAUUUUUGUAGGAUUCUUCAUCAGGAAUGUCAUGGCCCAAAUCACAGCUGCUGCAUUAUUGUCUGUUGCUCCAGUAACUAUAUUCUGCAACAUUUGGAAAAAAAAAUAAAAAUAAAAAUAAAUGUAUUAUUUAAUGAACUCAAACAGUGUAUAAUUUUUUUUCAUUAAAAAAUAAUAUAAUAAUAACCAUUAACACUGCUUUGAUGUGACUAAAGGUGACUUGAAACUUGAGAGAAGGAUCAUUCCGGAGUUUAAGUAGGCCAUCAAGAAUAUCUUCUGAAUGAUCAUCAAGCUCUGAUCUACCAUAAUCAAGGUGUUCUUGGAUAAUCUUUUCAUAGAAAAUGUCAAAUUCUUGGAAAUUUUUUUCCAAGCGAUGGAUCAAUCCAGUGAGUUUAUCAACAAAACCCAGGAGAGGAAAAUAGUCUGAAACGUAGAAGCUCGUGAAAAGGGUCUCAGCUUCUCUAAGUAAAGCUUGAAUUCUACUAUUUUCUUCCUUGUACCUCUGCCCAAAAGUAAUCUUACUGAUUAUAGUAUUUGCAAGAGACAUGAUAGCCUCAGUUAUAUCUACAGGUUGGGAAGCAGAAACUAAACCGCAGAUCUCUCCAAGCAUAUGGGAAACUUCAGAUUCUCUAAUGGGACGGAAACUUCUGGCUCUAUUGGAGUUGAAGAGAUGAACUUUACAUAUUUUCCUCAUCUCUUUCCAAUAAGAACCGUAAGCUGCAAAGGCUAAGUCUAAGCCAUUGUAGGACAACUUCUGCUGGCUAAGCUUGGAUGGCCUGGCAGAAAAAAUGUGGUCAUGGGUUUUCAUUAUUUCUUUAGCCAUUUUGGCUGAGGAAACAACUAGAACUGGUUCAAAGCACAUGCGCAAAGACAUUAGAGGUCCGUACUUCUGAGAAAGUUUCCAUAGAGAGAUAUAAGAGGCUGAGUUAUGAAGUUGAUGCAAGUUGCCUAUGAAGGGAAGAGCUCGAGGACCUGGUGGGAAAUGAGGAUCUGUUCUUGUUUUGCGAUUUCGGAGAAGAAACAAGAGGAAGAUGAGGACAACUAAUGCAAGGAAGACAAGUGAAACCAUUGUAGCUUGUGAACUCAAUAACGUCCCAAGAGUUUAACAAAAGCUUUUUCUAACACUAAUGGUUUGGUGUUUCUGUGUGCAUCUCCCACUGAUUUAUAAUGUUGAAUUUUUUGUUUGGACACAACAAUUCAGGAGCUCUAAAAAUGGAAAUUAUUAAAGAGAUUUAGCAGCCCUAUGAAAUUCGUUGAGUUAAUAAAUAGAGGAUUCACUGUUUAGUCUUCUAUUUUUUUAAAAUAUAUUAAAAUAUUUUUUUAAAUAUUAAAAAAUCUAUUAAUUAAUUAUUAUGUUAAUUUUAACUUUCAAUUAUUUUAUUAUUUAUAAUUCGUAUUAUAUGAAAAAAUUUAUUAAUUCAUUAAAAUUAAUAAAAUAAUUAAUUAUUAAACUUUUUAAAAUUUUAAUAUAUUUUUAAAAAUUAAAAGAUUAAUUAAUAGAUUUUUCAUAUUAUAAAAAUUAAAUAAUAAUUUUUUUAAAUAUAAAUUUUUUUAUUAAUUAUUAUUUGAUUUAAAUAAAAUAUGGUAAGCAUAAUAAUUUAAUAAUAACACAUCGUUAAUAUGUAAAAUUGUGUAUUCAAGAUCUUUUCAUAAGGAAAUUUUUUAAAAUUAAAAUUAAAAUUUUAAAAUAAAUAUAUAUUAAUUUUAAAAUUAAAAUUUAAAAUUUUCAAAUAAAUAUAUAAAAUAUUAAUUUAUACUUUUAAUUUUAUAAUAAUAUAUACUAAAAAGGAGACUGAAAGGGAAUGGAAGGGAAGAGGCCAGGCGACAAUUUCUUUUUUCAAAUAGAAAUAAGUUAAAUUAAAUAAGUCUAAUUUAAUUUUUAGACAAAUAUAUAUAUAUAUAUAUAUUUAUUUAUUUAUUUAAAGGUAAAUAAGUUUUGAUAUAAUAUAAUAUAUUUUUUAAUAAUAAAAUAUUAAUAAAUUUAUAAUAAAUAAUUUUAAAAUUACAAAGUGAAAUUUUAUUAUAAAACAUAUUUAAAAAUAAUAUUAUAUUAAAUUUUACCUUAUUUUAAUUUUAAAAAAGUAUAAGAUUUUAAUUCGAAGUAAUAGUUUAACUAUUAUUCAUGCUUUGUAAAAGAUAUUUAGGAGACGACUUCCCCGGUGAAAUUAUUAGCUUAACUGUAUCUAGUGUCCGGCAUAUAUAAUUAAUGCUAGGUCUCCGUCUCUGUUUGUACGUUCUGAAUUAAUCUUAUCUCUGUGUCUGUUUGUACGUUCUGAAUUAAUCUUAUCUUUCUUUGUCGCUCAAAAAUCAUUUAAAAAAAUACCAUUUUAAACAUUGUUGAAAAAGACAGUUUAAAGAAAUUAUAUUAUUAUUUGAUAGAAGUUUUUCAAUGAUACUAACAAACCUGUAGUUGUGUAGACGGUGACUGAGGUUCUUAUCUGCUGGCAUGUGGCUUUCGGUUCAAUUUAAAAUUCAACUGAAUUUAAAUUUUAUUAUUUAUAAAAAUAAAAUUAAAUUAAUUUUAAUCAGAAAUCGAAUCAAAUUUAUUUUGAUUCGAUUCGGUUCAAUUUGAUCGGUUUUAAUUUUUAAUAAAUUUUUUAUUUUUUAUAUUUUAUUUUUAAUAUUUUAAAAUUUAUUUAAAAUAUUUUAAUUUUAAUAUAAUUUAAUUUCUCUAUAUUAUUAAAAAUAAUAUAUUAUUAUUAUUAAUCGAUUCGAUUCUGUUUUUCUGAUUUUUUUUUAUUAAAAUCGAAUCGAAUCGAAUUAAAUGAAAAAUCGAAUCGAAUUUUAAAAUUAAUUCAAUUUGAUCAAUUUUUUAAAUUUGAACCGAAUACUGCUCACUCCUUGUAUUGAUAUGUAUCACGUUUUUUCAUGGAAUAGUGGGUAGAGAAUUAAACUAGUUGAAAAAAUUGUUGGAAUUAAAUUAAUUUAAAAUUUUAAUUUAAUUUUUUAUUUAUUUUAAUUUGAUUUAAUUUUAGUAAAAAAAUUAAAUUAUAAUAAAGUUAAAAUAUUUUAAUUAAAUUUUAAAAUAAUAAAAAUAAAAUAUAAAAAAUAAAAAAUUUAUUAAAAUUUUAAAUUCAUUAAAUCAAAUUAAAUUAAUUUAAUUUGAUUUAAUUUUUAAUUAAAAUUAAUUCAAUUAAACAGGCGAACUUAAUAAUGUUUGUUAUUAUGAAAUAAUUAUUAAAAUAAUAUUUUUUUCAAAAAUUAUUCAUCAACGUGUGAAAUAAAAAUAAUUUAUAAAAGUAAUGUUUGCUCUAGAAAAUAUUAAUUAAGUUGGUAAUUUUUAAAAAUAUUGAAAACGCUAAUGAAGUUGACAUUUUCACAAGCGUUGUCUCAUGCUAUAUUAUUUUAUAAUAAAGAAAAACUAAUACUCAUGAAAACGCCAGUGAAUGAUAAAUGUCAGAUAUUCCGUGAGAAAUGAUUUUAUUGAAAAAUUAUUAUUAAAUUUUUAUAUAUUACUAAAAUUAAUUGAAUAGUCUUUAUUUAUUUAAAUAUUAAUUAAAAUUUUUAAUUUUUUAUAAAAUCAAACUUUUUAAUCAUUUCACACAAAUAAAAUUUUAACAUUCGUAUUUAUAUUUUUAGAUUCAUAUAAUUUUAAUUAUUUAUAUUAUUUAGUUGAUAUAAUUUUAAUAAUUUAUAUUAUUUAUUAAUUUGAUUAAUUUCAAUAAAUUUAAAUUAUUAAAUAUAUAAUUAUAUAAAAUUAAUUAUAAUUCUUUCAACUAUUAUUAUAUUAAAUUUAAACUGUACUAAAAAUUAAUUUUAUAUAAUUAUAUAAAAUUAAUUAUAGUUUUCUAAAUUAUAAUUAUAAUAAAAAAUAAAAUCAUAUUAAAAAAUUAAUUUUAUAAAAUUAUAUAAAAUUAAAAAUUAAUUAUAAAUUUCUAAACAGUAAUAAUACUGUAACGGUAUAAAAAAUUAAUUUUAUAUAAUUAUAUUUUUUUUAAAUGAAAAUAGAAUUGAAAUAAUAGAAUAACCUCACAAAUUUAUUCUAAUACAUUUACUGUCACACUAAAUUUAUCAAUAUAAUUUUAUAUAAAAUUAAUUAUAAUUCUUUCGACUUUAAUUAUAUUAAACUGAAAACAUACUAAAAAUUAAUUUUAUUUAACUAUAUAUUUAAUAAUUUAAAUUUAUUAAUUUUGAUUAAAAUUAAUAUAUAAUAUAAAUAAUUAAAAUUAUACAAAUUAAAUAAUAUGAAUAAUUAAAAUUAUAUGAAUUUAAUGAAAAUUUUAAUUUUAUAAAAUAUUAGAAAUUUGAUUAAUAUUUUAAUAAAUAAAUAUUAGUCAAUUAAUUUUAGUGAUAUAUAAGAAACUGAUGAUAAUUUUCCGACAAAUCAUUGCCAUUGAAAAUGUUAAUGAAAUUGGCGUUUUCAUAAAUAUUAAUUUUUUAUUAUAAAAUAAUAGAGGAUGGGACCGUGCUUGUAAAAAUAUCAAAUUGAUUGACUUUAAUACACCAUCCUGAUUGGCAUUUUCCAGAGUAAUCAUUACUUUUGUAAAUUGUUUUGAUUUCACACUAAAUUGAUAAAUAAUAGAGGGAUCUAUUAAUUAUAUUAAAAUUUAAUAUUUAUUCUUAAUAAAAUAAAUAAAAUUAAUUUUUAUGAAAUUUUUAAUUUCAGCUAUCUUACUUACUCAAGACAGAGCAAUUUUUUUUCUUUUACAAAAAAGUUUAGAACCCCCUAAGAAAAGUAGUUCCGGAAGUAGAAGGCUUAGGGCCCAAAAGAGGACAAGAACAGAUUAAAAAGGACUCCUAGUCCCACAUUAUCAAGUCCUAAACCCAGAUCUGGCAUAGCAAAACUUAAUAAACAUAGGACCUUUAAGUAUAAAACUUAGCCGAUGAUUCAUAAAGCCUUAAAGCAACAAAAACAGGAAUAGAACUGGCCCUAACACACGAAAAACUACAAGUUUAAAUCCAGUCUAAAAAGAAAAAUUCCAAGGCCAAAGACUAAACAGAAUCUUAGAGUAAACAGAAUUUAUCAUUACUCUUAGUGUUACGGAGAUUAAACAAUCUAGAGUUUUUACUAUUUUUUUUUUUUGAGCAGAGAGAUACUGAUGCUACUUUAAAAAAAUAUGGUAAUAGUAUUUUAAUAGAUGGAAUUACUAAACGUGUUUGGAGUUAUUUUUCAUUAACAAUAGAGACUCGUGUGUCGUAUUUAAAAUUUUUCAUAAUAAUAGUAUUUUAAUAGUUUCAUUAAUAGUCAAAACUCGUAUCGUAUUUAAAACUUUUCGAUUAGCUUUAAUUUAGAUUUCACGCUAUAUUAUUUAUGUCAUUAUGUCAUUGACUUAAAAAUUUUAUUUGCAACUUUAACUAAUAUGAUUUCUUAUUGCCUUUUAAUAUUGUAACUAUACAGCUAUUUGAUUUUUAUACUUUUAAUUAAAUAAUAUUUUUUUUAAGUUUAUCCAUUAAAAAAAAGUAAACCGUUGUUUUUGAAAAAUAUUUUAUCGUUAGUGACUAACUCUUCGAACCUCACCUUAAUUUUGUAAAUUUUAUUGCCGUGUAAUGCAUAACUAUACAUAUAAACAAACAAAAAGGGUUGAGGAGAAAGACUAUUGAUUAGUUUUCAUAAUAUUUUCAAGAUUUUUAUUUUUUAUUUUUAAAAUAAAAUAUAUUUUUUUAUCUAAUUGUUUAAAAUUUUAUUUUGUUUUUUCCUUGUAAAAACUCGCACUUUGGCCAGGGAAGAAAAAGCUGCCCCUUGCCUGAGGAUGAGCCUUAGAAUUAAAAGGGAAAAUAGAGAAUUUAGUGAGAGAAAGGAGUACUGGCAUGGCUAUUCCUGGCCAAGGGCCGGUUCCGGUUCUUAUUCGGAACAUACAGUUUGAUUUGAUUUACGGGUUAAAUUGAAAGUAGUCCGAUUGACAUUUCAAAGAUAAUUUCAAUAUUUUGAUGAUUUCAAUUUAGUAUUUUUUUUAUAUGAAACUAUAUAUAUAUAUAUAUAUUACUAUAAGAUCACAGUAACAUAUGGAAAAGAAAAAAAUGGCUUGUAAUUUUUUUAAUAAUUAUAUUAUCAUAUUAAUAAAAAUGUAAUACUAUUAUACAAUAGUUUAUAAUGUUAAUAUAAUAUUUAAAUUAGAAAAAAAAACUUAUAAGUAUUUAAGCAAACCAUUAUGCAAACAGUAAUUUUCUUAAUUUUUAUAUUUUUUUAAAAAAAUAAACUUGUAAUUUUUAUUUGAUUUUUUAUUAUAUUAAAUUCUAAACUUUUUUAUUAAAUAUCAAAUUAACUUAACAAGAAAAUAAGUAAAGGAAAAAAAUUUUCGCCUUCAAUUUUUAAUAAUUAUAUUAUAAUAACAAAUUCUAAUAUUGUUUAAUAUAUUUGAUAAAGAAAUAAUUUGUUGGUAAACAAUUUAUUUUAAUAUAAUUUAUAGUUAAUGAAUUUUUUUAUUAUUUUUAGGAUUAUUAAUUAAUUAGUAUAGAAUUUUUAAAAUUUUAAACAUAUAAAAAAAUUGACGUUAAAGAAAUAAUAAAAAAAAAUUUAAAAUUUCAAAAAUUAAUCUUAAUUAUUAUUUUUUGGUUAAUAUAGAGAUUAAAAUCUAAUAAAUAUAUUAACUUAUCCGGAGAAACUGGAACGCCGUCGAUCCACUAUCCACAGCAAUACGUAAACAUGUCUCUGGAAACAACCUCACUGCUCAAUCUCAAAGCCGGUUUCCCGUCGAAUCGGCGGUUGGCUGCCUCAGUUCAUUCAUUUCCUCCGACUUGCUACCACCGACAUCCAGCUCCGUUGCUAAAGUCAUUAUCAUUGUCUUUUCGCGCCAAUAAUGUUAAUCGUCAAGGAACUAAAAUUCCUGCGGUUUUGGAGACUGAAAACGCGGUGACGGAGGAGCAGUCUAAACCGCCUGUAAAAAUAGUUGCCGUUGUCGGCAAUGGAAGCCUCAGCCCGCUGAAGAGCGCUCCUUGGGAGGAGGUCAUGCUCCACACUGUAAGUAUCUGAUAUUUUGGUGAUUAAAUCAUCUUCAAAAUUUCAAUAUACAACGCAAAAUUCAAAGGAAUCAUAUAGUUAUGAUAUUUCCUGCUUUGGUUGUAUGUGGGAAUUUUCCGGAUACUGGGAUUUUAAAAAAAAAAUAUAUUAAUUAAUUAUUUAAUGAAUAACUUUAUGGUGCAGAAGAGUAGAAUGUUUUUCUGGGUGUGCUUUAGAGAAGAUUCUUGAUAGUUUUUGAGGGAUUCUAUACAUUUUUUUUGACUGACUGCAAAUGGGAAUAGCUUGAAUUUGGGGGAAGAAGUUUUUUUAAGACAUUUUAAAAAUUCACUUAAAUCCUUGAAAUUUUUUUUAGUUCAUAUCAAACCCUUAACUAAAUAAUAUUGAUUAAUUAAACUAGGAAUCAAUUAUCAAGGAUCAAUUUAAUUAAAAAUAGAUCACGUGAAAUUAAUCAAGGAUCAAUUUAAUCAAAAAUAGAUCUCGAGCAUUACAUGUGGCUAACAGACAGUAAGGAACAUUUAAAUUUCUUAAAGUAAUGAUUCUCUCCCUUACAUUCUCUUGUAAAGUUGAUGAUAAUGAGAAAUUAAGAAAUAAAAAUAAAAAUAAUAGAACCUCAGUCUUUUUCUUAGCUCUUCUGUUUUUUGAAUCUAUGAAUGCUCUGUUUUGUGUUACAGUGAGAAAUCUUAAGAAAAUGAGAUGGGAAUUUAAAGAAAAAAAAGGGAGCUUGGUAUUGAGGAAAAAGGGAAAGAGUAAAUGGGAAGAGAGAGUUGUGGAUUGUAUGCUUUACAUGCAUUAAAAAUAGAGAAAGUAAAAGAGAAUUUUAUGAGAAGCGAGAGAGAGGGAAGAAAGAAGAGGAAAGAGCGGUGAACAGAGAGAAAACUGAAAAAAAUAUAUAUAUAUAGAGCAACUCAUAAUCAAUGCUGCAAUAGUGGAUAGAACAGUGGCUAUAGAGGAUAGAGCAACCAAUAAUGGAUAUGUUUUUUCUGGGUAAGGGUAUCAGCUGUGUAUUUGAUAAUAAUUUGGAAUGGAGGCGAGAAAAAUUUAUGUCCAUUAAACGGAUGGAUGGAGUUAACGUCAUGAAUUAAUUGAUCAAUAUUAUUUAGUUUUGAGGUUAAAUGGACCAAAAAAUUUAUCAAAACUUUUCAAAAUUUGUUAAGAGGUUAAAAAGGCUUUUGCCUUUUUUAAAUUUAUAUCAGUAAGUUGCACAUGACUAUCUAUAAUAAAAUAAAUUGGAAUGACAAUCUUGUAGUAAGGAGAAAUUCAUUUUUAUUCCCAUUCCAUGUUUUCUUCUAAGCAAACAAAUCAGCCCUGUGUAAUUUAAUGAUUGUGUGAGCAGGCAAAAAGGUUGAAAUGGGUUGAUGAAGGGUAUCAAAUGAUUGUAUUCACCGAUAAUGUAUGUCAAUGUAAUGACAAAACUAAGUAUCUGGAAAAGGAAUUGAGUCAUGCAGAUGUAUUGCUGAUAGUUGCCGUUUCAAAUCAAGAAUCAGUGAAGUGGAUCCAAAUGAAUAGCCAAACGGUUCCUAAUAUAAUUUGUUUUGACUCAUCUCCAAAUCUGGAAAACAAACUUGGAGGAUCAUAUGUUCAGAAUGAAAUCAAUGGGACCUUAUGUGGGAAAAUUAUUGGAGUUUCUCUGCCUAAUAAAAUCAAAGAAUCAUUGCAAGUGGUGAAAACUGUAUCUGAAGCAUGGGACCGGCAUAAUGCAGAUGACAUAAGAUUUUGUUUGCUGGUCAUAAUCAAUGCAUAUAUCAGACCAGUACCAAUCCUGAAGAACCUGAGAUCAAAGGGUUUUUCUACCCUGAAUUGCAUGGUUAAGAACUGUGGACCUCAGAUAGUAAACUGCCUAUUGGAUCCUAAUUGCAGGAAAGCACUACAAUGCUUGAACAACUGCAGCCCCGUUGAUCAGGUGUGUAAUUAUCGAUGUAUUGCCUCUUAUGAAAGUCCAAAUCUAGAGGCAUUCUCUCUCUGUGUGUUGCAGAAGAACAAUUGUCUUGAAUUGGAUGCAAGGAUCCCUGAGAGGCCUUAUGUUCCUCCCAUGGUUAAGUUCCGAGGGGAGGAGUUGUGCCAUGAAACUGCCGAGGAUCUUUUUGUGGGUUGGUUGGGAACUCUGGAUUGGAGUUGGCGUGUUGUGGCGGGACAGAAUCCAGCAUAUGAUCAAUUUCCAUGCCAGUACCAGUUGUUCUACAGGGGAAAGGCGAAAGGAUCAUUCUGGUACGAGCCAGUUUUCCAGGUUCAGACACUGGAGGGAAGAAUGGUUUGGAGGAGACGAAAGUAUCGUGUGAAGAGAGGCAAAGUUCCAGGAACAUUUCACUUCAGUGUGUUGGAUAAUGGUGUCGUUUCAAAUGAGUUUUGGACAACUGUGGAUGUGUCUGAUGAUUUUAGCUGGGGUUUGUUUCACUAUAGUGGUGCUGCUCGAGCUGCAGGACAGUCAUAUACAGGGGCUGUGCUUGUGAGUCCAGAUGGAGCAUACCCAAAUGAAAAGGAGAGAGAGAGAAUGGUUUCUGCCUUGGACAAGUGUGGAAUCAAAGAAUGGGAGCUAUUUACAGUUGACAAUUGUUCAUGCCAAGGGCCUCCACUGGGAAUUCCAGAGGGCUCAAGUUUGCAUUGCAAGGUUGCUCCUGGAGAGGAGAAAAGGAAAUGGGCAACCUUGUAAUGUUUCAGAGGAAUUAGAUGAUGGAUUGGUGAACUUCCAAGUGCAGCAUGAACAGAUAGAUUAGCAGCAAAUUUGUCCAUAUAGAGGUGAGUAUACACUGGUAAAAGGACAAGAAAAGCUUAAUUUUGCUCUUUUUGUUAAAAUUAAGAAAGAGAAAAAUUAAUGAUAUAUGAAUUCUAUUCUGCAAUUAUUACAAAUUCAUGUAUUUCUUCAUAUAGCUUUUGAAAGAUUUUUGUUGAAAUUAAUUCAAAGGUUUCUCUAGAUUUGGUCUUGAAGUGGUACAACUCGUAAUUAUCUCUAUGUUAAUAUUUUAUCUCAAUGUAGUGCAUGAUUUUGUUCUGCAAUAGUGUUAUAUAGUAAUAGGUGUUGAUGGCAAUGAGGAUCAUGGAAGACAAUUGGAGAAUACCCUUAUGGUUGAUAAUUUGGCUUUUACGAAAUUAGAUGAAGGUAAAAGAACACUCAUUAUGGGAUUGAAGAAAAGAAAAUAAACAUAAACAUAUAAAUAUUUGUAUUAAUAGGGUGAGAUCAAGUGCUUGUGAUAAUGAUCACAUAAAAAUGAAAAAAGACAUUACAAAUACUAGAAAAAUGUUCACCCCAUAACCCAAAAGAACUCUCUCUCCUUGACUCACAACUUGCACAGGGAAAAGGCAAGUUCCACGAGAAGCAUUACGAGUGACAAUGAGACCCAACCCAUUAAAAUCACAAGCGUCAACAUCUUGACUGCUCAUUUGAAAAUACAUAUUAAAAGCAUAAGAAGCAUUGCCUCUAAGGUUGAAAUUCCCGCAUGAAGAUCCAGGACUCAAGCUUGUGCAAUCUGAAUGAUAACAAGCAUAGCUUAAUGCACUUGGUAUCAAGCUCUCUUCUUUAACCUCAUCAUUAAGCACACACCAUUGUUUCGUCAUGUAUUGAACACCCUUUGCACCUAUUAACAUCUUAUCAUGGCCUUUCCCAGAGAGAUCCAUGGGAAAUUUUGGCUGUCCAUCGUAUCGAAACAGACCCCAGUGCCUCUCAAAGAAGCCUGGCAAUAUGCUCUUCAUGUCCUCGUCGAGCAGGCCGAAGAGAUACACACUUAACAUGCCUGGACGAAGUGGGGUUCCUUUCUUCUCAGCCAAUUUUUUGAGAAGACCAUCGUAGAAUUUCUGUGCAUACUUGGGCGUAGCAUAUUUGCUAGCAUCUGUUGGCCAACCGACUUCUCCAAUAAUGAUCUUUAAAUCAGGAGCACCAGCUUUGUGUAGAGCCCAAACAAGGGUAUCAUAGUUUGCAUCGAAAACGUUAGAGUAUGAUACGUUUUUAUCGUGAACUUUUCUACUACUGCCUUCAAAGAAAGCGUAUUCCAAAGGGAAUCCGGUUGUCUGAUAGACACUGAGAAAUGGGUAAAUGUUAACGAUAAAGGGAGCUUUGUUCUUUUUGAGAUGCUUGACGAUUUUAAGCAUUACAUCUCUCACGUCACUGCGAAAGUAACCCUGUGAAGGUUUGUCUCCGGCAUAAACAUCGGCGUUUAAAGCUGUUGAGGCUUUAAUCUUGUCACCAACUCCUGCUUCGUCCAGAGCUUUUUGGACGUUUUGUAUAGCUGGGAAUGUAGUAUCAUCGAAUUUGCCUUCAUAAGAUUCCAAGAAUGGCUCAUUCCCGACAGCCACGUAUCUAUAAAACACACCCAAAAACAAAAAACUUAUAUAUUGCAUUCAAUGUUAAGGUUGUUUCAUCUGAUAAAAAGCUAUGAAAAUUUGUACGAACCUGAUGUCGACGCCAUUUUUAUCUCCUUUAGGUUUGAGAUGGCUGGUCACAUUUUCUUUAACCCAAUCUUUAGCAUUAUCCAAACUGUCAGAAAUAUAAUCUAACAUGUUAUUAGGGAUGCCAACCAUGACCUCAAGGUUAGAACCAGCCAAGGAAUUUAGGGUCCAAGAAUCAGCAUCGAAAAGCUUAACCUUAGUAAUGCCAUUGUCUUUUAACAUUUUAACAACAAUUUUAGGAGGCAAUGGAUGCGAAGCUAAGUUCCCCCAGUUGACGCCGACGCCUGGCACAACAGCUGAAACAGCCACUUGAACAAUAUUCAACAUGCAGAAACUCCAUAACAGGACACUGCAGGCUCCGGCCGCCAUGGUGGAGGAAAGUGGAUGUUUCUCAGGAUGGAGAGAGAGAAUAAACAGCUGAAAUAACUGGACAAAUGAGAAUGGCGUUGGAGGAAAGACUUUUUCUCAAUAUUUUUCGGUGGUCUGAUUCUGUUUGUUUAGAGAUGAGAAAAGGGUAUGGUAAUUUAGAUGGUUUGCUAUAUCUGGGAUGUGUUUUUCCAUGGAAAGCUAAGAGAAACUCCCACCCAAUUUAGUUGGAAUUUUUCAAAGAAUAUGAAUCUACUUAAUAUAAAAAGAAAGGAGCUAUUUCUUCGGGCUUUUUACCAAUUUAGUGGGGCCAUGAUUUAUUUUUUAAUUAUUAAUAUAUUAUAAUAAAAUAUUUAUAUUAUAUUAAUUUAAAAAUAUUAUUUAUAUUAUAUUUUUAUAAUAAUAAAUAUUUUUUAUAAUUUUAAUAUAAUAAUAUUUAAUAAAUUUUAUUAAUAAUAACAAUCUAGUGAUUGCAUAUAACACCAUAAUUUUAUUUUUAAUUUUAAAUAUUAAUAUAUUUUAUAUGUUAAUAUUUAAUAUAUUUUAUUAUUAAUAUUUAAAUUAAAAAUAUUAUCAACCUUAUAUAAUUUUAAUAUUUUAAAAUUAAUAUUAUUCUACGUAUAUACGACUCUAUAAUAACAGUUCAAUAAAAUUAAUAAAAUAUAUUAUUAAAAAUAUAAUAUAAAUAAAAUUAUUAAAUUAAUAUAAUAUAAAAAUAAUAUAUUAAUUAAUUUAUAUUAUUAUAAUAUUUUAAUAAUUAGAAAAAUAAAAAAUUAAAUCAUGGCAGGCGUCAUUGAGUGAUGCCAUACUAUUUUUAAAAAUAAUAAUAAAAAAAAUGAUCUGAGGCCACAGAAAAUGAUUUAAUUUUUUUUAUUUUUUAAUUAUUAAUAUAUUAUAAUAUUAUAUUAAUAUUAUAUUAAUUUAAUAAUAUUAUUUAUAUUAUAUUUUUAUAAUAAUAAAUAUUUUUUAUAAUUUUAAUAUAUUAAUAUUUAAUAAAUUUUAUUAUUAAUAUUUAAAUAAAAAUUACUGAUAUUAUAUAAUUUUAGGAUCAUAAAAUUAAUAUUAUAUUGCGUUUGAAUAUAUAAAAAUCAUAUCAUAUACAUUUAUCUCAUAAUAAAACUUUUAUUAUUUUAAUAAAUUAAUAUAAUAAUUUUGUAAUUAAAUAAUACUAAUAAUUUUGUACACGUUAACAUUAUUUUAUAACUCUACAAAGUAUUGAGACGAGUUAUAAAUAGUUAUUAUAUUUUAUAAAAAUAUUUUUAAUAUAUAAAAAUACAUUGAGUUAUUUAUAAUUUAUAAAAAAAAUAAAUUAAUUAAUCUAAUCACAAAAUAAAUUAAUUAAAUUUAUUAUUUUUAAAAAUUAUAAAUAAUCAAGGGAUCGGAUUCAAUAUCUAAUCAUAACAUAAUUUUAUUUUAUAAUUUUAAAUAGCAGCUCAAUAAAAAAAUUUUAAUUUUUAUAAUUUUAAAUAUUUAUAUUAAUUAAUUAAUUAAUUUUUUUAUUAAUUAUUUAAAUUACAGUGUAAUUUUAUUUUAUAAUUUUAAAUAAUAGCUCAAUAAAAAGUAAAUUUAAUUUUUAUAAUUUUAAAUAUUCAUAUUAAUUAAUUUAUUAUUAAUUAUUUAAAUUCAGCAUAAUUUUAUUUUAUAAUUUUAAAAAACAGUUUAAUAAAAAAUAAAUUUAAUUUUUAUAAUUUUAAAUAUUUAUAUUAAUUAAUUAACUUAUUUAUUUAUUUAUUAAUUAUUUAAUUUAGUAUUCUUGUACAUAUAUUUAAUAACAGUAAAUAAAUUUAUAAUUAAUAUUAUUUAAUUAUAAUAUUAUUAUAAUAAUAUAUUAAAAUUAAUAAAAUAUAUUAUAAUAAUAUAUUAAAUCAAUAUAAUAUAAAUAUUUUAUUAUAAUAUAUUAAUAAUUAAAAAAUAAAAAAAAUAAAUCAUCACUUGGCCCACUCAACCAUAAUUUAAAAAAUAAAAAAAACAAACCAAGCACACUUUUGGACUGUUAUGAAAACACCAAAUCUAUAAAUAUUUUUCCUACAAUUCCUAAUUCAUAAAUUAAAGAUCUUCUGUCUCUAAAUUGAUAAAAAGUUAUAUUUCUUCUUCAUUUUUCUAGGGAUGGUGGGAAGAGAAAUACUUGGUCAAGAUCCAAUUAAAACUUUAAACCAAAUUUAAGAUCGAUUAGGCAUAACGAGUUAAACUGAAACCAGACCGUUUAUAGGGAAGUAAAUUAAAAUCAGAUCGGGAUCAACAGGUUAAGUCGUUGAUUCCAACCCAAGUCAAACUCUGUUUUUUUAAUAAGAAAAUAAAUGGCCAGAUUUAAAACGCAUAAAAUGAAUUAAAUCGUUUUUAAAUCAAAUGAAAAUUAGUUCAACUGAAGCAAACGGGUUUGGUUCCACUUCAUCCCUAUCAUCAGCUCCUAAAUUGCCAGUAUCGACCCGGAAGGAAAACAACCAAGAGCUUGUUUGACCUUGACUUCAAAAGUCUAAAAUAUUUUUAAAAAAUCACAAUUUUUACAUGUUGAAUUAAUAUUAAUAAAAUUCGAUAAUUUUAGUCAAUUACGCCCAUAUUCUUUAAUUAAUUAUAUAUAUUAUUUAUAAUUGAUGAACUUUUUUUUAAUUUGAAGACAAUAAAGUCUUGUUUAGUAGUAUAAAUGAUAAAAAGGAGAGAGUUAUUAUCAGCAAUUCUUUUUAAAAAAAAUUAAAAAUCGUAUUGUACUUUUUUGUGAACAUUAUUAUUAUUAAAGUUGGAGGAAUGUAAUUUUUGCCAAGCUUAUUACUAUAUUGCUAAAAUUCUAAAACAUAAACGAAAUUUAAUUCAAAGGCAAACAUAGUCUUUUAACCUCAAAAACUAUUCCUAGUUCCAAUGAUGAUUACAAGCAGACUGUUACAGAAAUGUUGAUAGAGAUUAACUGAUACUGUGAAAUACAAAUUGCUUUCUCAUGGGCAAAAAAAAAAAAUCAACCUACAUCAAUUAGAAUGAGCAUGGCCCAUUGAAAGGGAUUGAUGGAUUCCUUCAUAAAUCCUCAGUUGAAUCAGAGUCCCAAUGAAGCCUUGGAUUGGGAAGCCAGUCGCAGCAAGCCAGCAAGUAUAGCAAUAUCAUGUCAUCAAGGUAUUCUUAUAUGAAUGCUUCUCAUUUAUGUUUUAAGGGAAUGUUUAAUGAUGAUGCAUCCAUAAGCAGAAAAAUUCACCUAAUUUUAAUCUUGUUUUUGAUCUUGAGUAGGGGUAGGACGCCUCUGAACCAGAUAACGCUUUGUGCUUUCUAAUACACCAAAAAAUAUUGAACCUCCAAUGCCUAUCCACAGAACUCUUGGCUCUAUUCCCUGCAGCAUCAUCCAUGAACCCAAAACGAGAAUAAGAAUGAAAAUAUUUUCUUCAAUGUACUGUUAUUUUUUCUACUUCAGGUUAAAGAAUAUCAUUCUUCAAACAACCAUCUUUCAUACCUACAAAAUCUCAUAAUUUUAUAGUCUUAUUUAUUUAUUUAUCUGUGAAUAGUUGCACAUGUCAGCUUGCGCAAGCACAUCUAAAAUAAUACAAGUGAAUACAAAAGGCUCAGGUGCUAAAUACCCAGGCCCCAACUGGCUGCACUAGCUGGGUACAAUUAUCUGAUUAAUUAAAACAGAACAUCUGAAGCUUGUGGCAUUAUAUGCUAAGAGUCGAGAGGUUAGAUAAUUUCGAGACUUUCUUCUCCGCACUAGAAUGAAAAUGGUCAAACUAUAUUAUGAGACCAUUAAUUCAAAAAUAGUAGUUGAAUAUUCUGUAUGAUACAGCAAUAUUCAUUUGAUAUUCAGUUUUUAGAAUGCAGAUGGAAAUAUGGAUGAUACGCACCUUGAGAAGAGCAGCAGGUCCUUCUUCUCUAACAACAGUUUGAACACAAUCAAAGAUCCCUUUGUACCGGUUAGCUGAACCCUACAAAAAAUAAUAAUAUGACGUAAAAGUUAAUGAACUGGUUCCAAGAUAUAUUGAACUAUAAAUGAUAUAAAAUGAGCGUACCUGAACCAUUAACCUUGUCUUAAUCACAUCAAGUGGUGUAGUUAUAGCUCCAGUCAGUGCACCUACAGAAAAUAAUAUUCUACUUGUGUGGAUUGAUAUAUUAUAUUUUGCCCAUAAGGACCAGCUCCAGUUGUAUUUAUAGGCUUAAGAUGGCAACAUUACCUGCAAAAGCACCAAUGAUAGCAUUUUCUGGAUCAUUCAAUUCUCGCCGUGCCUGCCAAAAAGAGUGCUACUAGAUGAGGCUUGUAAUGUCCAUCUGUCCUCAUCUAAGAAAGAUUUAGUUACUUUACAACUAACAUAGUUUUUGUGAUUAAAUAUUUCCAACAAUCACCUAAAACUUGUUCUUGUAAAUAUUUUUUGGGGUUACUAAAGCAUAAAAUGUGGAGCUAACUAAUGUUGAUAAUGUUCUUAACUUAAAUUUUUAGUCUGAGGAAAGUAGGAGUAAAAACAUUAAACAAAAACAUUUUAUCAAUACAACAAGGAGACACAAAACAUUUCAUUGUACAAUUGGCUUCCAUCAAUAGCCUUUACGUCGAGAUACUCAAAGGAAAAGGCAGGAAAUGGAUCAAAUUCUAUAUGAUGACUUCCAAAAGAUAACAAGGAGACACAAAACCAGAGAGCUCCAAUGGAAAUCAACAUGAUCAUGACCCUGUUUUUCUUUUGCAGACUUGAUGAGAAGUUAAGUGAUCAGCAUUUCAUAAUUUAUAUAUUCAGAGUAAUUUAACGUUCAAGAAGGCCAUUAUUUCCAAAAAAUGAUAGUUCAUAUUUUUAUGGGAUUCAAAUAAAUGACAAUCAAGAUUCAGUUUCAAGAUGAGAAUUUGUGAAAGAGCAACCUCAGAAAAUGCAACUCAGCAUUAAUAAAGUCCGGAAAAAUCGGAAAAAAGAAAUCAAGUAAAAAGUGUGAUGCUGGAUGAAGGAACGGCAAGCUCUCAAGCAACAAGAUGCACAACACAAGUUUAAGGGUCAUUUUACACAAGAUGAGAGAUAUACCGCUGCUUUAUAACCUAUCCGAAGUUGUUCAUAGAUACAAAACUGAAUUGCAUCAAAUGGCAAAUCUCGCAACAGAAAUGAUCCAUAUCCCUGCUCUCAAAAAUAAAGGUUAAUUCAGAAAGACAAAAGAAGGGAAAGAGCUUGAGAAUGUGCAAUGGCUACUUGUUAAAGAUUAACAGAUAAAAAAAAGUAUAGAGAGAAAAUAAAACAAGAAACACCUUUAGCAUGAAAAAGAACCUUCUCAAUCUUUACUAUAAAAGGAACAAAAAUAUAAGUGUAAAUUUGCUCAUUUAGAGGAACAACAUUGACAUGGGAUCUUAGUUUGUAUAAAAAUACGAAGCUCUGGGUUUAAAUUGGACAUACUGCAUAGAGCCCCUUAAAACCUUCCUUAGAGACAAUAAGGCGGACAGCAUCUGGGGCUGAGGUAAAUUGCCCAGUCUGCAUUCUUUGCUUAACAACCUGAAUAUUGUUAAAAAUGAAAAGCUAAUAAUAUUCAAUGAUGGAUCAGAAAGCAUGUCUUCUUAAUCUAAAUAUAUAAAUGUAACAGAUGUACCUCUGUGGGAACACGAAUUAGAGAAGCAGCAACCCCUCCAAUGGCACCUGCAGUCUAUAAAAAAAUUAAAAACUCUGUAUACGAUAUAAGAAAAAUGAUAUCCAUGAAUAGAGAAUACUUCAUCACAACCACUUAGCUAAUGCAACUAAAAUUCAGGAGGAUAAUCACAUGAAAUUAUUUAGUUCAUAUAAGGAUUAAGACCCAGGGCCAGGGGAAGUAUGAGACUUCAAAGGAAUUGUGCACCCAUAAUGUAUUUGGAUGUGGAUCUCAAAUUUAAUAAAGUAAUAUUUGCAUUAGCAUCCUUGGCCUGUGCCAUGUAUUUAUACAGAGAUAAACAAAGAACCAACCACCAAAGAAGCCAAAGCUAACAUAUUAAGAAUGUGACAAAGGAAACUGAAAAGAACAAGAAAAUCUUACUAGAUGAGCUACAGCACUAAGAUUUUCAGGAAACAUUCGCAAUAAUUUCUGCUUUGUAGGCUCAUAUACUCCAACAAAUAAUGCAGAAGCCCUGUACAAGAAUAAGAAGCAUUACCAACAAAAGCCAAAACCAGGAAUAAUAAAAGAUGAUAAACAAUGUAAACAAGAACUUUCAAAAUUAAUGGACAAAGUCACGCCACUUACCAAGAAAAAUUUCCCCAAGUAUUCAGAACAAAAAUAAAUAAGUAACAAAUAAAUAAAACUCAAAUGCUUCCUGUCUGAGUUAUAUUUAUUCCAUCCAUUUCUAUCAUAGUGAACUAGAGAGAAAAUGUUACUGGAUUCAUUGAAGUUAAAAGGAGAGAGAUCUCUAUAAUUUCAAAAGCAGCUUAUUUGCAAAAGAAACCCAUAGACAAUGCAGGCAAUUCAAACACAUUUUAUUUACUUUUAAUCAGAAGUAGAAAGCCACAAGCAAAAUCUAGGCAAUAAAAUCUGAAGUAGCCAAGCUGCAUAUUUUCCUAAUUUCCUUUAGCAUGCACAAAAAACAAGUUACAAGGAGGCAACUGCUAGUGUACUGUGGAAUUUGGAUGCAUGUAAAUGGGCAGGCAUAGAACCUCAGCACAGACAACAGAGAGACUUGCUACUAAAGAGAUGCUCACAAAUGACAAGCAGAAUAUGAGCUUGAACAACAGGAGAGAGAGAGGGGGAGGGAGAGAGAGACGUGCAAGCAGUGCUCUUUAGAGGCCAUAGCAUUAUGGCUGAAUUAAAUGAAUUGAAUUAUCUUCAUGAAAAUUGAUAAAUAACAAUAUUAGGUACAUAUAUGAUAAUAUUUGAACUUGAGGGCCUUCUGUUAAGUGCUGAAGAUAAGUGGUUAUUCAAUGUGCAUAAUAAUGGAGAAAAGGGCUAUUAUAAAGCAUUUAUGUGUGUAUUUAUCACUGCAGAAGCCCAGAACCACUCACGGUAAAACACCAGCAAGAUUUCCAGCCAGUCCAGAGUAAAGACCCUUCAGAAUUAUUUUCCCACCACCACGAGCUGCCUGUAAAAUGGAUUCAAUUGCAAAUUUCAGCACACAUUUUUAUAACAUGAAACUCAUUAUAUAUUAUGAAACACACAAGUGGGUGGGUAAAUUUUAUAUCAGCAUAGCUAGGUGCCUUCUGCAUCAUCCACAUGCUAAAAAAAAGUAGGUGUAGGUGUAUGCUUUGAAGAAACAACUAAACAAGGAGAAGAAAAUGAAAAGUGCCUCUUAAGAAUCACAUGAUAUAGUGCAUAUCAAUCAAAAUCAUAGUUGUGAAAGGCUCCAAGCACACCAAGGCGCAAAGGGGGUUUGGAGCCUAGGUGCAAGGCAUAGGCGCGCACAUGAGCAACUAGAGGCGCAAAAAAAUAAGAAGUAAAAAAUCCAUUAAGAUUCAAGUAACAUAUAGCUAAACGCAAUAAAAUCAAAUACCAAAUAUCAAAUGCAAUAUAAUCUUUACUUGUUUGCUACUUUCACAGUCACAAUUCACAAAUCACAUUAUCACAAUCCACAAUCCACAAUUCACAUUCACAAUAAACUCUAAAUUAUUGUUUGCUAACUAUAUUCACAAAUCUCAAUUUACUUGAUAAAGUUAACAAAAAAUCAACAAUAACAGCACAAUAGCAGGCUGGUUGGCAAUGGCAGAGCAGCAUGCCAGCAGUAUGACAACCAUGGGGAGAGAAAGAGUAAAGAGAAAGAGAAGGAAGACAAAGAGAAAGAAUAAAGAAAGGAAGGAGAAUGAUAAACUCAAAAAAAAGAAUUAUAUGUUGAGAAUGAACUGAGGAGAUGAAAUCUAGGUAUGUUGAAGUCUUGAAUGUUGAUUUUUUCUUACUCUCCUUCCUCUUUUUCUCUUCCUUUUUCUUCCUCUUCUUUUUUCCCCCCUCUUUUUCCUUCUCUCUCCUGCGCACCUUUCAUAACACUGAUCAAAAUCCUAAGGGGAUAAAAUGUGCAUAUAUAUAUAUAUCAACAGAUACGCAGGAUUGCGUGAAGCAUAAUUAAUCACAACAAUAUUUAAGGAAUUAGGUUGGUUAUUAUGCAAUAUGUUAAUUCAUUGGUAUUGAAAGCAACAAAAGGGCAAGUCAACAAAUUCAUAAAAGAAAUUAACAUGGGAAUUAUAGAAUCUUCAACACCUAAUGGGUUAAGACAAAUCCUAAUGUGAAAAACUGAACCAAAAAUAAAUAAAUAAACAACCAUAGCUUAUUUAACCUACCUGAAGCCUUGUCUUUAUCGUGUCAAUUGGAUAUAAUGCUGUUUCAACUACAACACCAGCUGUACCUCCUGCUAUAACUCCCUCUACAAAAGUUUGCCAGAGCAGUCAAAAAAUCAUUCAUACAGCAAGUGCUUCCAAAAUCAAGGAGACACACACACACACACACACACUCUGACUGUAAUAAGCCAUUUCUGCUAUUUUCAGGAAGAGAAGCAUAGAAAAUUCUAAUGUAUAUGGAAUAAAUCAAGCCUAAAUUUUGAUCAUAGGAUCCAACCCCUUGGCAUAAAAUGAAACAACAAUACUUGGAAACUGUAAAUUUCGAAGUCAAGUAUUGUUGUUUAUUAAAAAAAAGAAAGACGAAGAUUUGAAGCAUACCAAAUAAAGUACGCAAAAAAUCGAAUGGUUUUUCUUCUUGCACGCUCAUUGAUGCAAAAGCCUUUCUUGCUUUCAGAUGAGAAGAGUUUUGCAUUUUCCUAAUUGGGGCAUCUGCAAAACCUACAUAACAAAAAAAAAAUACAAGUUCUGAGAGAAGAAAUUUAACAAAAGAAAAGCAAAACAAUGUACAUUAAUCCCACAGAUAAAAAUAAUGACAAUAACCAAACUGAAGGAUUAGAUAUAAACUGAAGGAAAGUGAAUUAAAAGAGAAAUGAAUUUACCUGAAGGCACCUUGGAAGAGCCUUUUGCAUCAAUAGCUAAUGUAAAAGGACCCAUCAGAGGUGUCCAGAAAUAAUCUACAGCAAAUUAUGAACACAAUUUAUCAAAAUUUAUCCAAAAUUUAUUGAGUGAGAGAACGAAGGGAGACUGAGAGAGUACGAGAGUGGAGAAGGCGGCAGAGCAGAGCUGAGCAGCCUUUCGUCUGGUGAUAAGAACGACAACGUUCAAACUUCAAACCCAGUUUAUACACUUCGAAGUUUCUAAAAAUCGAACCGUUUUGUUGGUUCACCGGUUCAAUAUGCUCAAAAAUCAGUUCCGAUAAAUUUUCACUUUUAAAUAAUUUUAUAAUUAAAACUAUAAAAAAAAUGGUCGAUUAAAAUAGAAUAUUACAACAAAUAAAAAUAUUAUGAAAAUAUGUAGUUUCAACAGUAUAUAAAUUUAUUAUUUAAAAAUUGAAAUUAAAAUAUAAUAUCAAAUUGUAUAUAAAAUUUAAAAAUUUAAAAGUUGAAAAAUAAAUAUAAAGCUAUAAUAGCUAGAUUAUAUGGUAUAGUAACUUAGGUAAAAAGAAAAAUAUUAUUAUAAAAAUUAAAUUAACAUAAAAAAAUAAAUAAUGUAAAAUAAUUGGAUUUGUAUAUAAAUAUAAUAUUAAUAUUAAGAGGAAGGAAAAAUAAUUGGAUAAUAAAAAAACUUUAAUUUUUCAAGUCAUUUAUAAUCAAAAUUUUUGUUAUUUAAAAUCCAUUUUAAAUUAUAUAAAUUUUAAUAUUAUAUAAAUCAGAACUUUUUAGUUCUAAUUAUACUAAACUUCAAUUUAAAAUACAAUUUUAUAAAAAUAAAAUAAGAAAUUUACUAAAAAAAAGUGAAUUCCAUAAAUAUUGAUCAAUUUAAAAAACUGAAAUUUAUAUAUUAAUGUUUUUCAAAAACAAAUUAAUGUGUUUUUAAUUUUAUUUUUAUGGUAUUUAUUUUAGUUUAUUUUUUAUCGUCUAUAGUUAUAUAUGAAAAAUAAAUAGAAAGAUUAUAUAAAAUACCAAUUAUAUUUUCAUAUUAUUACAAUCAAUAAUAAAUUAAAUUCAUUAUUAAAAUUAAUUUAGUUUGAAUUUUUGUUAUUAAAAUUAUUUUUGAAGUUUAUAUUAAUUUUAAAUUCUUAAUUUUUCUGUAGUCAAAUUCAUUUAAUUAAAUUUUUGUUUUAUUAUCUUCAUGUUACUUUCGUAAUAUAAAACUGAAAAUUAAAAUAAUGAUUUUAAUGUUUAAUGAAACAAUAUUUUAUCUAAAAAAAACAAAAAUAAACCUUGUUCCCUUUUGAAUUGAUUUGCAUAAAAUUUUGUGAAAUUUUUUUUUAAAUUCCAUUUAAUUUAUUAAAAAUUAUAAUAUAUCAUAUUUAAAAUAAAAAUAAAGUAUAAUCUAUAAUUUUAUAAUGCAUAAUUUAUGAAUCUAUAAUCUAUAUAGUUUAUUAUAGUCUUUUCAUCGUAUAAUUUUUAUUUAUUUUUUAAAUUAUAAUAAUAUAUAAAUUAAUUAUUAUAAUUUUAUUUUAUUUUUAAAAAAUUUUUAAUAUUUAAUAAAAUUUAAUGUAUCUAAAAGGAAUAUAAUUAAAAAAUUAUAUUUAUAUAAAAAAUAAAAUAAAUAAAAAUGAUAAGACGGUUGAAAUAAUAAUUGUUUAUUGUAAUUAAAGGAGAAAAAUAAAACUAUAACAACAAAAGCUAACACAAAAAUAUUAGUGCUGAAUUUGUGAUAAAGAUUAGACCAAAUAAGGGAUUAAUUUCAUGGCCUAAUUUAAUCAAACAAUUAUUAAAGGUAUGGAGCCUUUAAAAUGAUUAAUUAAUAAAAUUUAAAUUUUAUUGAUCUAUUAAAUUAUUAACAUUAUGGUUUGGAGAGUGUUUUUCUUUUUUUUUUUUUUUUCUAUAAGAUUAAUAUUAUUUUAGUAAUAGCUAGACAAAUCAUUAAAGUCUAACUCAUGAUAAAUGUGAAAUAAGUGUCAAAUAAAAUGUGAAAUAAAUUAAAAUCAAGUAAACCACCAUUCCAAUUUGCUGGUUCCAAUACUCCUCUUCUCAAACUUUUCAUGUCUUUCGUUCUACCCGUUUUACAUAAAUACAAAAUAAUUACUCUUUAUUGCUUUUUAACUGUUAUAAAUAUUUUUAUAAAAUUAACUAAUAAAUUUUUUAUAAUAUUACGAAUAAAUAGUAAAAUAUUUAAGAUUAAAAUUAAUAAAAAAUUAAUUAAUUAAUUUUUUAAAAUCUUUAAAAUCUUUUAUUUUUUUACUAGAACUAAAUGGUAAAUUUUUUUGUAAAUAAAUAAAAUUCAACAUCUCAAAAACAAUAUAUAUAAACUACGACCAUAAACCUUAGAGAUUUUGUGCUAAAAAAUGUGCGCAUCCAAUCCAAGUAGUGAAUGGUGUGUUUCCAGUGCACGCCUUUUUUCACCAUAAAUCCAAAGGAGCGACAUUAGGGAAGAACUAAAAUCGACAAUUCUUACAAAAAUGCUUCUCAAGAACCAAUAACCAAACCCAACUAAAACUAUCCUCCACCAAAAAUAAUCAAAUUUACAACCUUCCCAUUUCAUCUAACUAAUCACCUAAUCUAACAUUCUUUCAUUAAUUUACAACUCUACUCUUUCUCAUCAAAAUGUAUUAUUAUCAAAAAUUUUCAUAUCAGCUUCGUCCUCAGGACCACCCCCCACGACCUGAUUUUGAAGCAACUAUAGUCUUUCCACCAAGUUUUAUCUUCACAUCAAUGGGAGGUAGGCACCACCAUGCCCUUUCCUCAGUACCAGAGGUCCAGCAGUUUCGGGAACCUUGUCUAGUGCUUUUGAGCAUGCAUCAACGACAUCAUUAAAACCGGUUGCUACCAUAGCCAGCUGCAACUUUAACCUCAGAUCCCUAGUUCUCUUCAACAAGCAUCUGAAUGAUCUUCCCAAAUAUUUAGCCCAUUCUGCAGGUAAUCCUCCACCAGUCAGCCAAACCGAGAAUUGUGAUUGGUCCCCUCUGGCCGCCACCUCAGCCCUAUAGAAUCUUGCCAGUUCAUUAAGCAUUGAAGGUUGGAGCGGAAGCACCGCCACAAAUUCAGCCACAAAUUCUUCUGUUAGCUCUGGCUUUAGCAUUUGAUUCCAAAGUACCAACGCCCACUCACUUGGCUGGUUAAGACCAUAGGCUUCAGCAACAAUUAGUGCCUCUAGGAAACGGGAUUGCUCUACUAGUAACCGUCUGGCAUUGGUUUCAGAUAAACAGAGCCACCUGACAUCUGGCAUUCGAAUUUGAAGGGAAAUAAGGGAAGCCUGAGCACAAGUUCUGCACGUUUUAUAGCCAGCAUCAGUGGAAGAAUGAACUUCAGCUGCUUCAAUGAAAUACCGCAUUGAUUCAAGCAGAUCCUCAUUCUGGUCCUUGUCAUAGCGGUGAAACCACUGUUCUGCAGACUGCCAUGCUCGUGACUCUAAAAGUGAAGCCGUUUCAUGCUUCAUGUCGAAGUGGUUAUAGACCUGCAUAAAAGGAAAAGAUAAAAUAUGAUUCAAAGAAGUGAGUGCGCAUCACAUUUUAAUGGCAUGCCACUCGGGUCAUCUAGCACAUAUAUGAAAACAGGACAAACCCAGCAUCAUUCAUGCCAAAGCAAUGUUGAUUUGCAACUCAAACAUGCAUGGUUGCAAAUUAGCAGCCUGGGACACAAAUUCCAGAAAAUAGUGCUCAUGAAAUAAAUCUGAAUAAGUUGUCCCAGUUAAUGUGAAAAAUGAAUAAAAGGUCAAGGCCAACAUAACUUGUCCCAUGAAAUAAGCUUAUAAAAAUAGUGGGAGAUUACAAAUCAGUAACUUAAACAUGUAAGAGCCUAUUUUGUGCUCCUAGCUCUAAAGGGUUUGCUUUGCGAACCUAGCCUUGUCUUAGGUGUUAGAAAAGUAGCCCAGUCACCUCUAGCUGGGGUCAUGACUCAUGAAUUGCAGCAUCAGAACAAAAACCAACCCUGUGAUCACUCUAGUGGAGCUAAGGGCUCAGAAAAUCCAGUUAUUCCGAUCACAUAGUAAGCUAUCAUUUUUAACACUGAAGUUUGUCAAGAAUAUAAGUAGAGAACGUAAAACCCCAAAAGAGAAGUAUAAGAGAGAAUUUGCAUAUAAGAAGCUCACUGCAAGAUAUUCUUGUAUCUGUAAGAGAUCCAAAUUCACAAAACCUAACCAAGGUUUUUCCGUAGAAAGUGGUUCAAUAACGUAGAAGCUUAACACAUUAGGUUUUUCAAAGGAACAAGCAACAGAAUGUAGUAUAUUAGGAUGAGCAGGAUGUAAUCAAGAUACCUUCCUCCACUAAUUUAGGGAUCACAUAAACUAAUCUUUAAUUACAAUCCAGUCUGCCAAAUAAAUCCUUUUCCUCCAUGGAAGCUUGCCCAAAACCUGUUCUCUAUUUAGGUGUUUAUUAAACAAAUGUUUUUACCCUACCUCAACCUAAGCCAUUUUAGGUUUACCCUUUUGCUCUCUUACUUGAAUAAAAUCAUCAUUUUUUAUAAGGAUCUCAUCAACUAAGAUAAAUGUACAUAACCAUCAGACAUGCACAUGCAUGCAACACGACACAAAUGCACUGUGCAUAAAGGUCAUUCCAGAAAGUUCAAUUCAAUACAAACCAUAGCAAACGCAUCAAGAUCUUUUGGGUUGAAAUGCUUCAAUGAUGUCAAAACAGCCAUCCGAAAUCCUCUGACAGUAUCACCAGUUCCUGCAUUUGUGUCUGCAACAGCAGAAUACUUCUGAAGGAGAAGAUCCAGCUGACCAUUUUCUACGAGAAUUCCAAGAAUGAAAUUAAGGGCAUGGAAGUUCCCAACUCCAGUUAUUAAUCGAGCCAAACAUGGAAAAUCCCCCUCAGCUACAUAGGCAUCAACCCUAGUUGCAGCAAGAGCUACCAACACAUCAACUCCAUCAAGGCAUACUGAUGAUUUGUAGAAGUGGUGAGAAAGAAUAAGAAGCUCAACCUGAUCACAAAUUCCAGUUAAAAAAAAAAGCCUUCGGUAACUAAAGGAGGAUCAAGUGAAAUUUGGAAAAAAAAAAAAAAUCUCUAACCAUAUAAGAAAUGUUCAUUUUAUAUUUUUCUGACCAUAUAAAAUAUCAAAGUUAUCCUUGUUAUAAGCUACUGUUAUCAUUAUUAUUAUUUGCUUUAGUCAAAAUUAUUGUGAGGUCCCAUAUGUAUUAUGACAUUAUUAUUAGCCUAAGAAGUGAGAAGUAGACAAUCAGAGAUAGACAAGUAACAAACUGAAGUACAAUAUUUGCGCAAACACUAACCAAAACGAGAUGGCAAUUAACAAAAAUUAUGAAGCAAACUACAAUGUUAAUUGCCAGUCAACUCCUAAACCCUAAAGCCGCAUAAAGAAGGCACAACUGGAUGGAUCUGUUAGCAAGAUGCAGAAAUUUUACCAUCUGUAUCUCCACCGCUUUCACCCUAUGAAUAAUGACACAGAUAAUUUUAAAAAAUGGCCACCACCAUGCCAUUAAUACUACAGAAAAAAGAGAGCAACAACAAAGAACAGUAACAUAGUAGUUUUGAAAAAAUUAAAGCAUACUAGGACAAAAGAAAGACCAUCCACCUGUUAUUGAAAAAUGGCAUACCUCACAUGCAUGUGGUAUUUCUUGUCCUGUAAUCACCAAACGCAUUAAUGCAUGGCCAAUUUCAGGUUGUGAAGGGCAAAGCUCUGCCCAUGUUAAGAAGUCUGAGAAUCUCCACAACAGAGGAGCAGGUCCUUCUUCCUUCUGAGAAUCCAUAUAUCCCCCGCGAUGCGCAGCCAGUAGACCCUGAAGUACAUUAAAAAUGAAAAUCAAUGACAUUACCAAAUACUAGGAGUGGCAUUUGAUUAUUCGGGACUAUAAUGACAUGGAGAAAAAAGAAAAGAAAAAUUGAGAACUGCCUUUCUUACUGAAGCUACAUAAUACAUGGUGCAAAGCCAAAGUUAGCAAUACAAACAUAUGAAAUGCCACCCACAAGCCAUCAGAUAAAGACAGUUCAGGUAGACAACAUGAAUCAUCUCAGGAUAUAGUUAUUCCUUUUAGUCAACACCCAUUUUUUUUUUAUGCAAGUGCCAGAAGCCUAUAAUACUAGUUCACAAGAAAAUAUGCAAUUAACAUGAAAUUUCCAAGCAAAAUGUCCACCUUUAAAAAUGAUUCGGCAAGAAUUUGAGCAAUACUAGCUGCUGACAUGGAAUGAGUUUGCACUAAGAGAGAUGCUUCUUCAAAUGACUCUUGUGCUUUAAGAGAAAGCAACUGUAACAAUUCGAUUGGUUGCUUCUCAAAUGCCUCUGAAAAAGAGAGACCCAGAACAUUUGCAGCUUUUACAAAUGCUAUGAUUCUCUUACAUAGACCACGUCCACUACCCUCAGUAAACAUGUUCGCUAAACUCUCCAACACCUGAAAAAAAAUGAAAAAAAAAAGAAGAUAUUGUUAGAGAAGCCAAUUGAAAUGGAAAGCACAUGCUUUGGGAGAAUUAGAAGAUUAAAAAAAAUGGUGGAAACAGCAUGAGAUAUUGGGGCCACCUCUAAUGGGUCAAUCAUAUGCUGAUCAGUGAAGAUAUUAUAUGAUUGGACAACAGAAUGCACUUCCUCAUCAAGCAUUGAUGGAGAUACUUUGUGAUGAGGAGUUGAAAUAGCUGCAAGCUUUAGCGCAGCAUCUACCAGAACAAAUUCCGGAGGUGAAUUUUCUGGAGAUAGUUUAUGUUGGAGUUGCUUGGCAGCUGUUAUUUGUCCAAACUCCAGUAAAGAAAGAACAGCUCUUUCCAGCUCUGCAGGCCCAACUCUUUCCUCCCAUUUUGAUAAAGAAAUUUCCAACUUUAGGUUUUCAUCUUGCAACUGUAAGUCAUUCUUAGAAGUGAGAGGAAUAGUAACAUCUUCAGAAUCAUUGCUUCUAUCCAUUGAAUCCAUAAAUGGCCUUCUUGAAGGCAAAAAGGCUUUGGCCCUCCGCUUUGUCUUUGUACUGACCCCUGCUGUUGGAUUGCUGGCAUCAAAUACUUGAUUCUUCUGAAAUCCUGAGGUACUCUCCUUUGCAUCAUGCUUAUCUGUUGCUCUACUCAUUUUAUUUAUAUGAACGUCCAUCUUCGUUAUUAAAUUUGCAGUCUUUUCAAUGAUAUUAGAAGUAUUUCCAAUCACAGGAUCCCGGCUGGCAGCUGUUGAUGUGAAGUCUCCAUCACUCUUUACCUGAGCUUCUGAUUCUACAGCCAACAGCCAUGCUCUAGUCUCAAUUUCUCGCAGGAGAUUUAUCGGAUAAACCCUGAAACAGGCAAUCACAUGAGCAAGAAAUGAUGGCUCAUGCUGAAAUGUGCAAUGGAAAUUGAAGUUAAGAAUCACUUACGGAAUGGACAGAGUUAUCAUCCCACUUAACCAUUGAAGAGAAAGCAGCAGCAACUCAAGAAGCUCCCUGGCCGGAAGAUCUUUCUCCACCUCCUCAGCAUGUUUAAGGAAAAAUAAUCCAGCCUGAUUAACCACAUGCCACCAGAGCCCAUGAACACACUUGCAACAAGCAGGAAAAUAAUUAUUCUCACUGAACAUAGUUUGUAACAGUAAAUUAACCAACCUGUAGAGGGAGAAAAGAGUAUCUAAUGAACAGUGUCUGACAAUGACCCCACAAAGCAACUCUCUCUUCGGGAACAUCCCAAAGGAACUCCUUCCAUUCAGUCACCAUGGAUUCAGCCUGGAGGUUGAACCCAAAAAAUAAAAAAAAAAAAGAAAGAAAGAAAGAAAGAGAAGUGUGUCAAAAGGUCCAUGAGGAUACCAUUACAGUCAGCGAAACAGUUUGGGAAAUGAACAUUAUACUCAACAUGCAAAGAAAAAGUUAUAUGUGAACAGGAUCAACGCCAUUAAUAAAUUCAAAUAUUCAACAACUAAACCAAAUGCAUCUACUAAGACUACCGUGCAUAAUUCAAUACUUUCACAAUAGCAAUAGAAUCAGGGGAUACCAUUCAAUUGUUACAAAAGAGUGCCUUUUUAGAUUUCCCAAUUGGAAAAGAACAAACCUCAAGCUUGACUUGAUAUAUUUUUGUUCUUGCUUGAAAUAUUCAUGGACUGCACAUUGCAAAAUCAUUUACACUAUCCAUCCAUUAACCCAAUGAUUACUAAUAAAAUUAAUGAACCAAGAACUAUGCGAUGUAGAUAAUGUGCUUGCCAAUUGCAAAUUGGGUGACCAUUUGGUCUAUCCAUUGCAAUAUUUAGCACAAACAAAAAAUUUUUAAAGGUAUAAUUGAGCCUAUUUGAAUUAUGAACCAGAUGGAACUGCACCAAAGCCUAAACAAUUUAGUUAGGGUCCAUCAGAAUAUCUCUUUUUAAUAAAAAGUAUAUUUUUAAGCUUUCAUUUAAAUAUACAUAAUUUAUUUGUUUUAUUUUAGUAAAUAACCAUUUUACUAUGUUGUUUAUGCUUGUUCAUCUCCAAUUUUCAAUAUCCUUCAUGAUGUAUUCUCUUUUAUUUUCAUCAUUAACAUUCAUUUAUAACAACAAAAACAAUGAGAACAAACCAGAAUUUGCAUCCCAAAGAUAAUACCUGAGUUUCAACAACAUGGUGAACAGCCGAUUUCCAAGGUCCACCACUGGCCUCCAACUGCCUGGCCCAGUUGAUUGCUUGCUCCCAAUGUCCAUUCUUUUCUAGAGCAGUUAAAAGUGAAGCAUCAUCUAAUGUCUCAUUGCCAAGAUGUAGACCAUCAUCCUUCCUUAAUAAAGGCUCUGCUAAGUUAAUUUUCCAAAAAAGUUGUCGAUAAUAUGUUGCUGCACAUCCUCCAUCACCGAAGUCAGUUGCAGCAAGAAGUUGUAGCAAGCAUCUUUUUUCAUAAGGAGAUGGGCAGGUUGAAAGCAUGGAAUUGGCAGCUUUUACAGCAGUAGAGCUUAACCAUGAUGUGGCAGUCUGCUCUUCUCUUACCAUAUUUGACUGGAAAUUGGAUGAUUCAUCCUUUAUCCUGGCAGAAAAGGAGCCCAAAUGUGCUGAAGCUUCAGAUAGGCGCAUUUGUGAAAAUGCCUAAACGAAAGUUGAAGGGAAAAAUAAGUAGAUAUUAAUGUUUCUAUCAAAAGAUGAUCUGAAUGACUAGAUUGUCCUCAUGACCCUAGUAAAAAGCAAAGUUGAUGCAAAACUGAAAGGAAAGAAAAUACAUCGAAGAUGAUAUGCAUGACCAAUGAUGGCAUUCUGUAAAAUCAUUAACAAAAACAAUCUAAAUCAAAGACCUUAAAAAAUUAAGUCAACCGAAAAAAAGGCAUAUGGCAUAUUUUAUCAUUUUUAAGUUGUCCUCCCUGUAAAUCUGUUUUUAUCAUUCAUUCCAAGAGUAAUGACAAUGCAGAUAUACAUUUUGCAGCACAUUAGUAAUUGAUCUGAAUAGUUCAGUCUUCAUAUUACAUUUUUAGGUUUAGGGAAACAUCAUGAACUAAUAUUCAAUCUCAAUAUAUAAAGUUUAUCCAAAUGGAAGCCCAAUGGACACUUAUCAGGAUGAUCCAGAUUUAACUGUUUUGGGUAAAAAAAAUGAGCCUGUGACCUCUCUCCACAAAAUCAGUAUGUAUGUUCCCUGGUGGGAACAUUAGAUCAAAGGGAAUUAAAGAGUUAUCUUUCAUCCUCAGGAACCAUAGACAUGGAUGGAAAUAAUGAGACCCAAGUUCACUCACAGACCUGAAGUGCACGAAUGAAAGGCAGCAAAGAACACGAAGGAAGAAACAUUUCAAAAGCCUUUAACAAUGGCAGAAACAAGUGCUGUUCACAAAGCACUGCCACCAUCUUUGAAAGAGAUGUUGGCCCUUCAUCAGGAUCACUUGAAACAUUAACAUGUUCACCAAUUCCACAUUUGCUUUCCUCUUCACCAGAUACACCAUGUGCCACAGAUAUAUUUGGACGAUAAUAAGUACUUGAAACAUCAGCAGCAGAUAAAACCAAUUGGUCCUGAGAUAUGGGCUCCAAAAGGCGUCGACGUUUUGGAUUCUGCCUUUUGUAAUGAAAUGUUACUGCUCUGUUACCCACUGGCAGAGAAUUAGUAGCUAGCACAGCUGCUCCAACAUUUUCAGCAAUCUGGGAUGCAAUAUCAUUCACCUUGAUGGCUGAAGUUUCCCUGUAAAUACAAUUACUGAAAUCAGAUACAAGACUCAAAUGCAUGUGAAGUCUAAUGCAUUCCUAAGAAAAAAUAAAAACGGAAGUAAGCAAAGAGACAUAUCAAUUUGCAAGUUUUCUAGAACAAAUGCACAAGUGUCUAUUAAACUUGAGAAAAACACAACAACAUCUGGGAACCACAACUUUCUAUGGAGUUUAGUAACCUUGCUGCCGUAAUUUCUAGCCAAAUUGUUAGGCAAGAUAAUGGAGACACAUCUGGAAAGCAUGAUGCAAUCAUUGCCAAAAGUGACCAGGACAUCUCUUUUGCUUUCGUCAAGAGGGCUUCUCCAGCAUUUUUCUGCUUCUCACAAUCUGCUAAAAUUCUAAAGAGUUCAACAGGUAUGAGUACACUCUCAUCUGCACAGGAAGUUCCACUCCCUUUUUCAGUGGCAUCCAAGUAAGAAGGAGACCCAGCUUUCUUUCUUGACUGCAUGCUUUUCAAGACAGUUAAAAUAUGAAUUUUGAGACGUGGAUCACUAAAUUCCUUGGCUGCCUGAAACAUUGAGUUAUAAGACAAUCUAAAUGAAGCAAACUUGAUCAAAAAAAAUUUUGGGAUACAAUUGAAACCUUAGUAAAAAACUAAAGAGACUUACCACUUGGACCACUGUAUCAAAAGGGUAUCCUCCACUCUGAGCUUCAGACAAAAAUCCAACCUUAUUGCAGAAAGAAGAAACUAUAAGAUUGGAAGAUGAAAAGUUACUCAAAUCAAAAUUAAUGAAACAUAAUAGAUAAAUAGUCAAUUAUUCCUCUGUCUUUGCCUUCUUUGCCUUUUUUUCCUUCAUUUUGUUAUCAUAAAGUCUAAGAGAAAGAGACAAACCCAAUCAUUAUCUCUUGCCAAUACAGAAAGGUAUUUUGUGCUCAAGGGAAGCUGAUGCAUCUGGCAGAAAAUUUUAACUAAAUUCCAAUGCUGACUUGCAGCUUUUUGGCGAGAUCUUAAUUCAGCCCCAUCGCCACUACCAGUUAGAAGCCAAGAUCCACAGGUCUUUCCGUCCAUCAUCGCUGGAAGGCUUGCCUUUUCCAAAUGCUGUAAGACUAGCAUGAGAGCUCGUGAGGGUUGUUUGCUCGUAUGCAAAUCUGCAGUCCUCUUUAGCUUAGCUUCCUUUACACCAUCAUUCCGUAAAUAUUCAUCCGCUAGUGAUCUAGCUAGAGACUCUACCAUGCCACCUUCUUGAGAAACCAAAUGAAAAGCAGUGCCUUUAGGUGAAAUUUGACCAUAUUUUUCUUUGUUUUCACUUAGUUUAUGAAAUGAUGAUAUCCGCUUCAAGGCAGAAAUAUCCACCCGAAGCAUGCUUGCAGAUAAGCCACAAAGCUCGAGGAGAAAAGCACACGAUGCCCCCAAUACAGGAUCCUCAAAAUGAGUAAUAGCAAGUGGGAUCACCUGAAGUGCCACAAUAAAUGUUUGCAAGCAUUAUUAAGUUGAGAUAAAAGUAGUCUUGAAGAAGUAAAGUGUUCGUACACCAAUAAAUUAGUAAGAUAGAAACUAAUUAAGCUGGCCUACAUUAUCCUUGUGAAUGACAUUUGAUUAGACUUCAUUCAUCCAAUCAUAUGUGGAAUCACUUGAAUUCCAUAAUCCUUAGUGAAAAAUUGAAGCACAAAUUUCAAGGGACUUCCCAGCAGUUCCAUAAUUUACAAGGGUCUAUAUCUAUCUGGCUUUAUUCAUGACAGAUUGAAAUCCCUGUAAGGAAGCCAUCUGUAGGUGUCCUAAUUCCUAACUGUAACCAUCCAGAUGUUGUCACUGCCCAUAAAUUAAAUUUUUAUACACUACAAUAUGUAUAGGUUCUGAUUUCCACAAACAAAGAGUAAAAAUUAACUACUGGGGCAAAGGUGGGAGAAAGAAGAAAUCACUAUAAUUGUGUUCUUUGUUCCCUCAUUGGAUCUGGCAAAUGAUGAUGCUUAAAAAGAUGGACCUAAAGAAGGGAGGAUUGCCUAAGGGUUUAUAAUAGGCACAUUUCGCUUUCCGCAAACCCAUAUUGGAAUUUAACACACCCCUUUACACCCAGGAUCAAAUUUCUGAAGCAUGAAACAGUCAUAAGAGACCCAACACAAGGGAGGCUCUGAUACCAUCUUAACAAAAUAGACCAAGCCUAAUUAAUGCACAAAAGCUAACUAUAGAGGGAAGGAUUGUCCUAAGGCGGGGCACAUUACCCCUGUAUACAUUACAUUGUAUCAAAUCAAUGUGGGAAUUUAACAAUGACCACAAUCAUAACAUGAAUAAUAAUAAUAAUACUAGUAGUAAUAAUAAUAAUAAUAACAAUAAUAACAGUAGUAGUAAUAAUUGUUAAAUUUGGGUCAGGCCUAACUCACCCCAAAAGCUAGCUCAAGGGGGAGGAGUGCCUAUAUCCCAUAUAAGGGGCACAUUAUCCCUUUCCACAACCGAUGUGGGAUUCAACUCACCCCCUCACGCCCAGAAUUUUUACUGGUGUGUGUCACAUCUAUGGGACGCCCAACAUCGGAUGGGGAGGCUCUGAUACCAUGUUAAAUUUGGGUCAGGCCUAACUCACCCCAAAAGCUAGCUCAAGGGAGAGGAGUGCUUAUAUCCCAUAUAAGGGGCACAUUACCCCUUUCCACAUCCGAUGUGGGAUUCAACAAUAAUAAUAACCAAAAACAACAAAAACUAAGUCUUAAUCCCUGUUGAAUCCCAUAUCGGCUGUGGAAAGGGGUAAUGUGCUCCUUAUAUGGGCCAUAGGCACUCCUCCCCCUUGAGCUAGCUUUUGGAGUGAGUUAGGCCUGGCCCAAAUUUAACAUGGUAUCAGAGCCUCCCAUCCGAUAUUGGGCGCCCCAUAAAUGUGCCACGCACUAGUAAAAAUUCUGGGCGUGAGGGGGUGUGUUGAAUCCCACAUCGGCUGUGGAAAAGGGUAAUGUGCCCCUUAUAUGGGGCAUAGACACUCCUCCCCCUUGAGCUAGCUUUUGGGGUGAGUUAGGCCUGGCCCAAAUUUAACAAUCCCAAAUUAGUUGGAGUUAGCUAUAAGAAUUUUUUUAAUAUUCAGUGCAUUUGAAACCAAUUCUACAGCCAUAUCCAAAAAUGAUAAAUUUUUUGAACAACAAAAAGAAUAAAAUUUGAAGCAAUUUUUAGGUUGCAUUGUCAAUUUGUAAUGAUUUUCACCCAACUUUAUUAUGCACAUUGCCAAGUUAUGCUCCUGCUAAUGCAACUGAUAGAGAAAUCUGCACGAAGUUCUACUUUCACAUUGUCAGACGACAUGGCAGCUAUCACAUACCCUUACAGUUGUAAACCUUGUAUUACUAUUACUGCUAUGAAAAAAAAUCCCCUUACUUCCCUCAGAAAAAUACAGUUUUCUUGAGGUCAAUUAUCUAUAUCCCCUCUUGAACUUGAGUAAUCUCUUUAUAAAGCUAGAUGGCAAGAAAUCAAAUCUUACAGAUGAAACAAUAGCCUCUUCACUCUGUGUUAAAGGUGCUAGAAGUGUUUGCACAUCUGAUUGCACAUUUGUUUGUCCAUGUGAUGCAGCACCAGAUUGGCCUUCCAAUUUCAACUUUUGAACUCUAACCCCAAGAAUAUGAUUAAAAGCUGCCAGCGCACGACCACGAUGCAAAUGGUGCUCAAGCCCAUGUCCAGUUUCCUGAAGUCAAUGCACCCAUCAGAUAAUAAGCACUGUAAGUGACAAUUGAGGAAACAAAAGUAGAACAGAAUGUAUUAAAAAUCUCAUCAAACAAACCAGUCACCAUCAGCAAAGAUAGACUCCACAACACCUCCAAUCACAGAUUCUUCUGUUUACUACAUUACAAAUUUUUAUUUAUCCAGUGACAUUGGCCUUCUUAUCAACAACUGUUACUUUAAUCUGCUCCCCAACAUACGUACCAAAUCUCAUGUCCUUUUCCUAGCAUGAAAUUUGGGCUGACCAUGAAAGUCUAGCUAUUCAGUUUUAUAAAUUUUACAUGAGUCUCAUCUUGCAAAGGUACAGUUGUCAUGCUAACCGGCAAUCUUCAAGAACAUGAGCAUACCUAAAAUAUCUUCUUACUAACUUUCCAAGAGAAACUGCACUGAAAGAUCAUGCAACAGCACAGCUGUGUCACUUGAGCAUUGUAUAACAGAUUUUCAGCACAAAUUUACUUAUCCUAAGUAGAAAACAAGGAACCAGUCUACAAAGUACAAGGGCUUUGAGUUCACUUAACCUGUACGUUGCAUCGGAAGAAAAGCAUUUUCCUAAAGAAAAAUAGUAUAGAAUCUUUUCCCUCACAUAUAAAACUGACUUAUGAGGAACCAACUAAUUAUGAUACUUGCUCUUAUUUAAUCAUAUCAUUAGCGUAAUAGAAAUAAUAAUAGUGCUUUAAAAAUAAAGAAAGGGUUGCCUACUCUCUUCAAAAUCACCAGCAUAUCAAGCAUCAGCAUUGCAGUUAACAAAAUCUCAUUGCCAUUAGACCUGUGCCCUUGGCAUUUCAAAAUACCAUACUCACACCAAAGCUGAAUGCUUUGAAGAAAACUCAAGUAUAUAUAUCUACAAUGUGCAUACAUACAAGAUUGUUAAAUUAAAUAUAAUGAUAAACAUGAAUUAAGUUAUGAGGAGAGAACGAUGCAGAUACCUCAAGUGAGGAGUCAUACAGUUCCUCUUGGACAUGCUUUUGUAUUGUUGCUUCCCAGGAUACAGCACUUAUCUCAGUAUGUUCAUCAGCGUGUAUGUAAAAGUCAAUUUCUCUAUCUAACAGAGAAUCCCCUACAGGCAGACCUGAGAAUGAUUGCCAUCCAAGCGGACCCUACAGUAUUUUGAAUUUCAUCACGAUUCUCAGCAUUUCUGAUGUAUAUGAAUUUAUGAACAUUACCAUUUAGUCAAAGCAAAAUUAGUAAGGUGUUCCUAGCUUGCAUCAACAUAAGAUGAGGAAAUUUAGAACUUUGGCACAAAAAAUAACAUCGCAUUAUUGACCAAAUAGAUCCAAAGUUUAGUCAAAACUUCAAUUGCAACCAAUUCUUUACCGGUAUCUACAUUUAACAUGUCCAUCAAUUGUCGCUAGCCUGAGAUAGUCUUAGGCUAGAUGUGCUAUUGCAUAUCUAAAGUUUAACUAGAGCAUAUUCAAAUGUAAUAGUACUAAAACACGUUAGUGCAGAUGCAACCAGAGGAAAAAGGGGCAAAAACUUGCACAAAUGCUGCAAGAAAAGGAACAAGUAAACAGGGGAGGGGAGUGAUUCUUGCAGAAAGAGACAGAUAUGGACAAAAUAGGUGCUAAUAAUGCAGGAAAAUGUAGAGGUAGAGAAGCCAAUUUUUAGUAGAAGUGCAACCUCAAAACAGAUUUAGAGUGACUUUGCCGACAAUUAAUAUGUUUAUCUUACAGUUCCGUAUAAUUGACCAAACUUGAAAUAAGUUGAAGUUUAUGUAUACAAUUAUUCUGACUAAAUUUAAAAACCUUUAGUUAUUGGUCCUAAUACAAUAUCCAUCAUAGCUAGCAAGCAGAAAAUUAAUUAUAAAGCAUCCAGAAAAAAAAAUCAGAUGGAUAUUAGAGAAUGAAAAGACCUGGAUAUAAAGCUGAAUUAACCUCCGGACAGUUUUGGGAAACCAGCAUGGCAGCAUUUGUAGAAGUGAAGUAUCACGUGCAGAAGAGAAGAAGAUAUUGUCGCGCCAACACAAAUAGUUUGACAGUGCUGGAUUUCAAUGUACAUAAAUUAAACAUUGCAAUUGAAAGAACAUGCAAGAAAACUAAAGAUCAUCCAGCUGACUUAUGUGCACGCACAAAUAUAAUUAAAAUAAUAUAAGGUUACCACCAACCAUUAUUUGCCCUAGAAACCAAUAAAUUUGAUGUAUCUUGUCCAACACUUGCUGCUACAAGUGUGCGCCACAAUGUAGGAAAGCGUUGCAAAGUGGGCCUAAGGUUUUCCAAUGUGCAUUGAGCUGUGGAGCUACUAAGCCUUGAAACAGUGCCACUACUUAAGCAAUUUUGAAUUGGAAUAGAGGCAUACAUCAGAGUUGCUAAAGCUGCCAUUUCACCUGCUCCUUCAGCAAUAUCAUCAACAGUACGAAUUAUCUCAUCGAUGUCCAGAACACUGAGGUUGCUAUCACGAGACAUUAUAGCCCGAGCAUUACAAAAUGAUGCAUCAUAUUCAUGGCCUUUGAUUCUAGAUAGAAGCAACCAUCUUGCCCAUUGGCAAUCUCCCUGAACAGAAAAGUAAAUAGAAUAAUGACGCAAGUGCAAGCACAACAUAUUUAAAACAAUCAACAAGCCAUGUCGCAUUAAUAAAUAUAUGUAUAAAUAUAUAUAUAAUUGUGUAUAUGAUAUCAGUAUCAGUCAGGAUCAGAUCCAUCAUGAUGACCAACACAUAAAAAGAAGGGAUUUGCGUCACAAGAAUAGAUCAUAUAAAGGAGACACAAGCUUAAUCAAGAUAAACCUUUUUCAUAAAAUAGUAAGACAAAUUUCUAACCAUAAUUUCGCCUAUAUAAACUUCAAUUUGUAUCUGCCAAUAUUCAUUUCAAUAAGAUCAUUAUUACUAAGUUUUUGGUAGAAUUUCAAUCAGACGUUUGACGUGAUAACAAAGUAAAAUUUUUUCUCAUCUAGAUUUACAGUUAAAAACAACCUUUACGAAUCUCACUAAGUCGAAACAUCAAAAACUUGUAAAAUAUCCACAUAAACAAAUUGAUAAUGGUAAUCCUUUUAAAAAUUGAAGUUGGAUAUUUUAGUGAUACAAAUUGAAGUUUAGCAAUUGUGCUAAAAUUUAAUAACAAAUUCAGUGACCAUGGCUGAUAUUCACCCAAACUUGGGAGAUACAAUGUCACGUGUUCAACUAAAUUGGAAAAACUACACCUAUCUAAUGCAAUAUGAUUUGGAAGAAAGAAAAGCUGAAGAGAGGAACAAUUUGCAAUCUGGAGCACAUACUGUGCAGUUUGUCACAGUCAUAAUUCCCAUGUGGUAGGAACUAGGAAAUGCAUAUAAUUAGUUCGUGGGAGAAAAUUAUAUUCCCAAGCAAAAUCUGUGUUCUGAAACAGUUCCAAAAUUAGAAGAAAGCCCUUCUCUUCUUUUCAAGAAGGAAGCCUAACUAAAAGAGUGAAAUCAGGCCAUGCUGACAUAGCAUAGAACAUUUCAUACAUUAAUGCUCCUAAUUUAUCCUCCAAAUAACAGAAGAAGUUGAUAAAAUCAUAAUUAAGGCAUAUGAAGAACAAAGUUGGGUACCAUGAAGUACAUGUGCUUCGUCCUAACGUAACACACUUUAACUUUGACAGUUUUACAUCUGCAGCAAAUGAGUAAAACAAUACAACAAUUAACCUGUUUCGAAGUUGUGCUGUUUUUAGUUCAGCAAUAGUGUUGAACAUUGUUAUAAGUUAUAGAAAGUAAAUAUGUUAAUAUAGGAAGUAAAUAUGGAUAGAUGGGUUAGUUGCUUAAUCUUAGGGAUUGUAUAAUCAUAGAUUUGAUUUUCUUUCCUAUUUAGAUACCCUCUCUCAUGUAUAAAUAGAUUGUAAUCUCUAUUGUGAAAUAUAACAAAUAUUAUCCUUCUACAUGGUAUCAGAGCCUUUCUCGUAGAGAUUUAAUUUUUCUCUCCCGUCAAAGUUUUUUUUAAGAAAAAAAAAAAAAAAAAUUUUGGAGACUUAGGGCUCUGUUUAUUUGGGUUACCCAUAACGGGUAAUAUUUGGAUCUCACCAUCGCUAGAGUCGCCACAUCGUUCCCUUGUCAGAUCUGAGGUUUAUUUGCCAUUCGGGUUUUGGGGGAGGUGUUUUUAUCGGUACUGUUCAUCGGACUGUUCACGGGUACUGUUCACGAGUACUGUUCAUCGACACUGUUCACGUGGUACUGUUCACGUGGUACUGUUCAUCGGUACUGUUCACGUGGUGCUGUUCACGCCGGGUACUGUUUUCUGAUUCUGUGUUUCUUUUGUUGCUGUCGUUUUGGGUUUGUUGUCAUGGUUGAAGUGAAAACCACCACCGUAACUGAUGUGAUUCCUAUGAUGACUAAAAUCACGGAACACAAAUUGAAUGGAUCUUCCAAUCAAGGAAUUUUGAUAUCUGCAGAUGAGUAUGCACAAUUCGUCCAAUACCAGGCAUCUCUAAAAUCCUCUAAUUCCUCCUCUAUCACUGCAAUUGCCGAGUCAGGUAACUCUACUACAUGUCUUGUGUCUUCAUCCUCAAAAUGGGUUAUUGAUUCUGGUGCUACCGAUCAUAUGUCAGGUAAUUCUACCCUUUUGUCCAAUCUUGAGUCUCGUACAUCGCCUUCUUAUGUUACUCUUGCUGAUGGCACUAAAUCUUCUGUCAUUGGUUCUGGUCAUGUCAACUUAACCCCUUCUCUUUCUGUAUCCUCUGUGUUAUGUCUCCCUAAGUUCGCAUUUAAUUUGCUUUCCGUUAGUAAACUCACUCGUGCAUUGAAUUGUUGUGUCUCAUUCUUUCCUGAUCACUGUGUUUUUCAGGAUCUUUCGACGAAGCAGAUUAUUGGUAGAGGGAGUGAGUCAGAGGGUCUUUACGUCUUGGAUCAGCAACUACCUCGAUCUCCUCGAUCUCUGGUAUGCUCCACGCAUUUAACACCUUUUGAUGUUCAUUGUCGUUUGGGGCAUCCUUCUCUCUCAGUUUUAAAGAAGUUAUAUGCACAGUUUCAUUCUUUGUCUACUCUAGAUUGUGAGUCUUGUCAAUUUGCCAAACAUCAUCGUUUACCUACACUGCCUCGAGUCAAUAAACGGGCUUCGUCCCCCUUUGAGUUAGUACAUUCAGAUGUUUGGGGUCCUUGUCCUGUUGUGUCUAAGUCUGACUUUAAGUAUUUUGUUACUUUUGUUGAUGAUUUCUCUCGUACUACUUGGUUAUUUUUAAUGAAGAGUCGUUCAGAAUUAUUUUCUGUUUUUUGUGCAUUUUAUGCUGAAAUCCAAACCCAAUUCAAUACUUCCAUCCGUAUAUUGCAAAGUGAUAAUGCUAAAGAGUAUCUCUCUGGGGAAUUUCAAUCUUAUUUGUUACAAAAAGGGAUUCUUCAUCAGUCAUCUUGUGUUGCCACUCCUUCACAAAAUGGAGUUGCUGAAAGAAAAAAUCGACAUCUUCUUGAAGUAGCCAGAGCUCUCUUAUUCCAAAUGAAGGUACCUAAAUGUUUUUGGGUUGAUGCUGUAUCCACUGCUUGUUUUUUGAUCAAUCGCAUGCCUUCCUCCAUCCUUCAUGGUGAUAUCCCUUAUAACAUUUUGUUUCCCACUAAAUCUUUGUUUCCUAUUGAGCCACGUAUGUUUGGUUGUACAUGUUUUGUUCGUGAUGUUCGUCCACAGGUUACUAAAUUGGAUCCUAAAUCACUCAAAUGUGUCUUCCUUGGCUACUCUCGACGUCAGAAAGGGUAUCGUUGUUUUUCUCCUGAUCUGAAUCGGUAUCUUGUGUCUGCGGAUGUAACAUUCUUUGAGUCCACUCCAUUUUUUCCGCCAUCAUCUGUUUAUAACACCGAGGGGGAGGAAGAUGACCUCUUGUUAUACACUGUUCGCUCUUUGUCUCCUCAAACUACUCCUACACCUUUCGCUCAUGUGCCAGGUCGCCCUCCCAUCUUUCAUGUGUAUUCCAGACGCUUAGAGGACUCUGACUCCGUUCCGCUACCUGCUUCUUCGUCGACAGAUCCUGCUCCCACUGAUCCUUCACCGUCUGAUUUGGAUUUGCCCAUUGCUCUUCGCAAAGGUAAACGUACUUGCACUUAUCCUAUUUCAUCUUGUGUCUCUUAUGAUCAAUUAUCCUCCUCUUCUCGUUGUUUUGUCACUGCUUUAGAUUCUAUUUCAAUUCCCAAAACUGUUAUUGAGGCUUUGUCCCAUCCUGGUUGGCGUGCUGCAAUGGAAGAGGAAAUGAUGGCCCUUGACACUAAUGGUACUUGGGAGUUGAUGUCCUUGCCCCCAGGAAAGCGGGCUAUUGGGUGCAAAUGGGUGUUUGCAGUAAAAGUAAACCCUGAUGGAUCUAUUGCUCGCCUCAAGGCCCGUUUAGUGGCCAAAGGUUAUGCACAAACUUAUGGAGUUGACUAUUCUGAUACAUUCUCUCCAGUUGCCAAGCUCGCAUCUGUCCGAUUGUUUAUUUCCUUGGCGGCUACUCAUGAUUGGCCCUUGCAUCAACUGGAUAUUAAAAAUGAUUUUCUUCAUGGUGAUCUUCAGGAGGAGGUUUAUAUUGAGCAACCACCUGGUUUUGUUGCUCAGGGGGAGUCAGGUAAGGUUUGUAGACUUCGAAAAUCCCUUUAUGGCUUGAAACAGAGUCCUCGAGCAUGGUUUGGCAGGUUUAGUGAGGUGGUCCAACAGUUUGGAAUGAAGAUGAGUAAGUGUGAUCACUCAGUGUUUUAUAGAAAUUCUGAUAGUGGAGUAAUUCUGCUUGUAGUAUAUGUGGAUGAUAUCGUUAUUACAGGAAGUGACAUUGCUGGCAUCACAUCCCUAAAAGAAUUUCUUAAAACACAGUUUCAUACAAAGGAUUUGGGUUCCUUGAAAUAUUUCUUGGGAAUUGAAGUUAUGCGGUGUAAGAAAGGCAUCUUCUUAUCUCAAAGAAAAUAUUUUCUUGAUUUGUUGGCAGAAACAGGAAAAUUGGGUGCUAAGCCUUGUAGUACCCCAAUGACCCCUAACCUUCAACUUACCACAGAAGACAGUGAGCCAUUUGCAGAUCCUGGAAGGUACAGAAGAUUAGUUGGUAAGCUGAAUUAUUUGACUGUGACUCGUCCUGAUAUUGCAUAUUCAGUGAGUGUGGUAAGUCAGUUUAUGUCCUCUCCUACUGUUGCCCAGUGGGAUGCUCUGGGACAGAUUCUUUGUUACCUUAAAGGGGCCCCAGGACGAGGCCUAUUCUAUGGUAACCAUGGGCACUCAAAUAUUGAAUGCUUUUCUGAUGCUGAUUGGGCAGGCUCGAAAGUUGAUAGGAGGUCAACUACUGGGUAUUGUGUUUUUGUGGGAGGUAAUUUGGUCUCAUGGAAAAGUAAAAAGCAAAAUGUGGUCUCCCAUUCUAGUGCUGAAUCUGAAUAUCGAGCCAUGGCACAAGCCGUUUGUGAAAUCUUGUGGGUACGUCAACUGUUGGAAGAAGUUGGGUUUUCAAAUUCGGUGCCUGCUAAGUUGUGGUGUGAUAAUCAAGCAGCUAUCCACAUUGCCUCCAAUCCAGUAUUUCACGAGAGGACCAAACACAUCGAGAUUGAUUGUCAUUUUGUUCGUGAAAAGGUUCAACAAAAGAUAAUAUCAACAGAACAUAUCCGAACUGGAGAACAAUUAGGAGAUAUUUUUACUAAAGCUCUAAAUGGAACUCGAGUCGAUUAUAUAUGUAACAAGUUGGGCAUGAUUAACAUUUAUGAUCCAACUUGAGGGGGAGUGUUAUAAGUUAUAGAAAGUAAAUAUGUUAAUAUAGGAAGUAAAUAUUGAUAGAUGGGUUAGUUGCUUAAUCUUAGGGAUUGUAUAAUCAUAGACUUGAUUUUCCUUCCUAUUUAGAUACCCUCUCUCAUGUAUAAAUAGAUUGUAAUCCCUAUUGUGAAAUAUAACAAAUAUUAUCCUUCUACAAACAUCACCCUUUCAAAGCAGGGUGAUAGAGACUUUAAAAUGUAUCUGGAAUAUCAUUGCAUGUGUCAUUAUGAGUCAAUAGAUUACAGUUAUAUAUAGGCUCUGAAUAUAUUUGAUGCCAUUAGCUGAAAAUAACAAACUAUUUAGAAUAAGUCAAUAGAGCAUUAGACUGCAGAAUACACUUUAAAACAAGCAGCUUCAAAGGCACAAGCAAACGGCAUUAACAAUUUUCAGUAUAUAUUUAAUUGCUAUCUCUAGUGAAUAUCUAAUAAACUAUUUACUCAUCAAAUGAACCUGCAAAAGUUAGACAAUACUAAAGCAAAAUACAAAAUCAGAGAACGGUAAGACUCACUAGAUGUGAGGAAACUUAC
rnacentral:lncRNA from 1 species